AUAUCUCUAUGUGACUGUAAAAUGGAGGAGGAUCCACUGCAGAUUCUGCAAAAGUUGCUUCAUUUAAAGUCGGUUGAAUUAUCAUAUAGUACUUUCGUGGGGAGGAAGAUGGUGUGUUCAAAAGGUGGAUUCCCUCAGUUAUGUAAGCUACAAAUACGGUUCCUGCACAACUUGGAAGAGUGGAUAGUCGAAGAAGGGUCGAUGCCAUGUCUUCGUACCUUGUCUAUUCGGUAUUGUAAGAAGUUGAAGGAGCUACCGGAAGGGCUCAAGUAUAUAACUUAUUUAAAGGAACUGGAUAUCAGACAUAACAACAAGGAGUGGAAGAAGAAACUCGCACCAGGUGGGGAAAGUUAUCACAAAGUCAAACACAUUCCUAGUGUUCAAUUAAACUAUCGUGGCAAUUAAUAAGGAGAAUAAAACUGUCUCAGGUAUAUAUUCUUUUUGGUAUAAUGUCAAUAUUGUUCAUUUUGUUGGUUAUGUAUCCUCCUUGAAGUUUAGUGUGAGUCUCAACUCUCUGUUAUUCGGUUUUCAGGUGAACCUACUCAGGAUCAGUACCCACCACUAUCGAUUGUGUGAUAUGAUAAUAAGUCGUUUUGUUGUAUGAAGUUUACAUAUCUUGUUUGUGAUAUAUUUCGUUUAUCUGUUUGCAUGCUCAUUCACUGUAAUACUAAGUUUGAAAUAUAUUUUGUAUGUUGAACCAUAUCUUCUUCGAUGUCUCCGUUGUGUGUGCUUAGUUGAUUUUCAUAGUCGGAACUGGAGAUAGAACGAUGGUUUUAUCAUGACAAAACGCAAGAACAACAACACAUAUAAAUUAGAUAUGUUGUAACAACUAUUUAAAAAAUUGAAUGAUGGAAACCCCAAAUUUGUUUAAAGAAAAUGAUGUUGAUAGUGGUUUUUGAAAAAAAAAAAGGAUUAUGAUGAACAAUAACAAUGAAAACUCAUUGUAAACACGCUUUAGAGAGCCAAACAAAUAAAUCAAUUCUAAGAUUUUUGGUGGAAAGGUAAUUUAAGAGGAGAUGGAAAACGAUAACAGGAAUGAGUCUUUAAAAACACACAUAUAUAUAGAUUGAUAAAGGAUGCUUCAUCUAAGAGUUGUAUUGUUUUGAGAUGGAGACUAUUCGGUGAAAAGAUGCAACGCACCGCAGUUUUGUUUUUUUAUAUCAUUAAAUUCAAUCAAAUAUGACUGUUGGACUUAAAACCUUUUUCUUUUAAAAAGUGACGAUAUCACCAGUUUUGGUAUGCUAUUAUAUAUAUAAUUUUUUUAUAAUGAAAAUAUACAAUUUUAAAAAUUAAUAAUAUUCAGAUUGUUAUGAAAAUAUACAAUUUAUAUAAUGAACAGACACAAUUUUUCAAACUAAUACAUUUCAGUUUUUUUUUAUGAAACAACACAACCAAAGUAGUUAUUUUGAAAAGACACAACUAUUUCGAUUUUUAGAAAAGAUACAACUUUUCAACAUAAGUAAGAUUCAUAACCUUUGAAAUUAAUCAGGAUUGCUAUUAUUAGUAGAUAAAAUAUUUGAUUUUAUCAUAUAUAUAUAUAUCUAUUAAUAAUAGCAAUCCCAAUUAAUUCAAAAGGUUGUGAAUUCUACUUAUGUUGAAAGGUUAUAUCUUUUCAAAAAUUAAAAAUUGUGAUUUUUCAUAUAAGUAUUAUUACAAAAAGACACAACUUUUUAAUUCAAACGAUGUGACUCUUCGAAUUUUUUUUUGAAAAUCUGUAAAUAAUCCAAUGUCCAUGCCUUCUCAAAGCAUAAUUUCCCUAAUCAAAUAAAAUGGUCACAUUCGUAGGGUUUUUAUAAAUACUUUAAAAAUAUAUAUAUAUUUAAAUAAAAAAAUGUGACUAUUUAUAGUUAAAAGUUGUGACUAUUUAUAUAAGUAUUAUCUCAAAAAGAACAACCAAUUAAUAUGAAAAGUUGUGAAUUGAUAGGUUGUGUUUUAAAACAUGUAACUCUACAAAAUAUUAGCUUUAAGAGUUGUGUUUUUUCAUCAUAAAUGAUAUAUUAGUUUUCAAAAGUUAUAAAAUAUUCUAUAAAGUAUCUUUGUACAAUUAUUUGUUUCUAGAGUUGUUUAUUAGUUAGUGUAAAUAGUAAUGUCUUUCUAUUGUAAAAGAAAACUAGAUUUUGACCCGCGCUUUUUAAGCGCGGGUUUUUUUCCGACAAAAAUAAAAGUUUAAAUUGAUUAUUAUUUUGUGUUCAUAUAAUUUUUUUAAGAUUAAAGUCACCAUGAUUUAUAUUGAUGUGAUCAAGCAUCUGCGUUUUUGAAAUUUGGUUGAAAUGUUUUUAAAAAUGAUGUUUGUUUGUCUAAUAGUAUAUGAAAUAUGAAGUGUAAAUAUAUAUAUUGGUAUUGGAAAGAUUGUUGCACACAACUAUAUAUAUAUAUAUAUAUUAACUAUCAAAAUUUAAAAAUAUAAAAGCAAAUAUAUAAAAGGAUUUAAUAUGUAGUUAUUAUAAAGCUAUAUUUUUUUCUAUACAUAGUCAAUAUUUAAAUUAUUGUUGAAAAUUAAAAUCUAAGUUUUUAAUUGCAGGUUUAUUAAUAUAGGUGUAAAAUGAGUUUUAAUAUAAACUAUGACAUUGUCAUAUAUACAUGAUACGUUUUUUUAUUUCACAUGUCCUAUUAGAAACAUACCAUAUAUAGGUCUAUUUAUUUAUACUGCUGGUACAUACGAUUUUAUAUAUACCUUUAUCAAAAUAUGCGAUAUUAUAAGGACUAAAAACCUUUUAACUAACGUUGAGUAAUAUAUGGUAAUAGGAGAAAUAAUAGGUAGACCAAUAUACUAUUAAUUAAAUAAAAGGGUGCAGUAACCUUGUUUAAGUAGAUUUCUCAAGACUGAUUCUCUUUUAAUAGAAUAGAUUUAGUUUUUAAAAAUAGUUAAGGUGUCUUUCUUUAAUAAAUAUCUUCGUGUCUUUCUAUUAAUCUUGUUGUAUUGUGUAACCUUGCAAUGUUUGGUUAUUAACAGUUGCAACUUUUAGUUUCUUAUAUAAAGAAUUUUGGAUUGCGACACAUCACAAAAAUUCAUUUACUUGAUUCACCCAAAACAUACAACAUUUUGUAUAUUUGUUUAUUUUAGAAUAACAACACUUGUGAAACAUAAAACAAGUGUUUCAAAACAUUUCGAUUGCAAAAAAGAAAAGAAAAUACCCAGUAUUCCUCAACAUGCAUACUGCAUAUAUAAUCUCAUACAUCACUCUCCUAAACUCUUUUUUCUUUGUUUUAUUUUUGUUGUAUUAUUGACUAGUAUAUAAUCUUAUAUUAAUAUUAUACUCAUGUGAUGAGAACUUCCCCCCCCCCCCCCCCCACCCCCCCCACCCUUUUCAAAAUUCGACCAAUUAAGUUGGUUCGUUGAAUCGUUAUCGAUUUUUAUAAAUUGGUUCUGCAACGGAUCAUCGUCCAUCGCGCAACACUCCAACCUCGUCUCCCAAGGCACGUUUACAGAUUUGUCAAGUCGUCAUGUUCUUCUGAUCUGAUAAAUGCGUAAUUUGAUGAACUCUUCUCUCGCCUAUUUGCGGUACUAUUAGGCAGAAGAACCCGUCGAUUUACGUCCCGUCACGACGGAUCUCCAGCGGAACUGCUGCGGCGACGCUGCGUUAUGCCACUGCUAUGAGAUCUUAUUCUACGUCGUUUAUGGAAGAGAGGGACACUUUCGGGCCGAUCCAAGUUUCUUCCGGUAAGUACAUGAUAUUUUUUUUUUUACCAUAACGUCUUGACUAUCUCAGUUCUCCAGUAUGUCUUAUCAGCCUUAUCUUUGUUGUCACUGUGUCAGAUUUUGGGGAGCCCAGACGCAGAGACGCUGCAGAACUUCGAAAUCGGUGAUGAGCACGAGCGUAUGUCCAAACCUAUCGUCUGCGGUUUUGGCGUCUUGAAGAAGUGCGUGGCCAAGCAUAGCUAUAAGUCUAUAACCAUAGGUUUUGUCUAAGUCAUGCACAUUGCCGCUGUAACUGAGAUUAAUUGAAGGCUCUUAUUCGUAAGACUGAUCAAAAAGCCAAUAAUGUGGCGGUGAUUUCAACCGGAAAGGAAGAUAAGUUCAAUUAUUAAGCUUCUAAAAAGUACAUAAAAACAUACCUUGACAAUCUAUGAUUAAGAGAUGAACGAAAAUGCAAUGCAGAUGAAUGAAGAGGUUGAAUAGAACGCAGAAAUCAGGAAUCAGAAAAAGAAAAUUGAAAAAAGGAGAUAAUUUGUAAACUGGUUAUCAAAAAUAUAAACGUAUGAAGAGGUGCCAACUAAGAGUCACAAUUUCAUUAAUGGAUAAAAGUCAGACAAUGCUUCACUACCGACAUACAACUUUGGUAGAGUCGUGUCUUAACUAAACCAUUGGAUUAAAAGGUUGCUAAUCUCAACAGUUUCCUGUUUUUUUUUUUGAAGAAAAUUACUAUAAGAAUAUGAAAUGGGACUUGGAACAAAAAAAAAGAAAAAAAAAAGAAAAGGGACUUCACUAACGACACAAAGCUUCAGUAGCGGUAGCGUCUCCUUUUUUUGUCAAAACAAAAAAAUUACUAAUCUGAACAGUUUCCUGUUUUUUAAAAGAAAGUUACUAUAAGAUUAUGAAAAGGGACUUCACUAACGACACAAAGCUUCGGUAGCGUCUCCUUUUUUUAGUCAAAUCAAAUGAUCAGCCCUUGGAUUAAAAGGUGUACUAAUUUCAACCAUUCCUUUAAACAAAAUUAUAAUAUAAAAAAAUGAUGUCAGAUAAAUACAAAUUUUGGUUUGCUAUUAUAUGUAGACCGUGUUUUUUUUGUAAUGAUAUAUCUUUUCAAUAUACAUUAUAUACAACAUUUUAAAAAAACUAUUUAUAAUUUGAAAAGUCGUGAUCAUUCAUAUACAUAUUUGAAAAACUAUAAAUAGCCCAUGUCCAUAAAUUUCUUAUUGUAAAUCUUUCAAAAAUUUAUUAAAAUGGCCAAAAAGAAAAGUUAUGUGCAGUAACCUGAUUACAAAUAAUUUGAAGAUAAUAGACGAAACGAUGUCAACAAAGAAUUGUAGCAAGGGUCAUUCAUGUUUGGCUAGUAAAAAAUUCUAAACGAGAUACUGAAGUUAUUAGUCUUAAUUUCUCUUCAACUAGAUGAAAAUGUGUGCUUUUAUUUCUUACAAAUUUUGCAUUUGUAAUGAUGUAUGUUCCAUGAAACACAUAUUAUGCAUGUCUUAUAUAUUCAUGUGCUAUAUAUUCUUACACUUGGGUUAUAUAAGAAUGUAUGAUCAUGUCACAAAAGCCGGUAAAUUUUAGUAACAUAAUAUUCUUAUUGAUUGUUGACAUUUUAUUUGAGUGGAUAUUUUUGUUUUACAAAACCAGUCAAUUAAUGUAUUUUUUUCUCAUUCUCUUGGGUUGUUUCAUAUUUGUGACAUCAAUAAUCAUUAUCAAUAAAAGAAUAUAGUUAUAUACAAAAUAAUUUUGUAACACGUGUAUUGUCUCAAAAUUAAUUGUAAACAAUUUUCAUAAAAAUUUAUUUUAUAAAAUAUAUUAUAUUUACUUUUAUGAAAUGAGUUCCCGUGCGAUAUCGCACGGGUUCCUUACCUAGUAUUAACAGUGGCGGUUCUACUAAGCUCAAGAAGGUGGCACUUGCCCCCUAUAAAAUCAUUAAAUUCUUUUUAACUUACCCAAAAUUUUGUUACAUACGUUUACUGAAAAUCAUGUUUUAUUUAUAUAGUUGUAUUUACAUAUGAUUUGCCCCCAGUAAAAUUUUGUUCUACAUCCGCCCCUGUAUAUUAAUUAACUUUUAGAAAUCCGACAUUUAUAUUUUUUUGUUACACUAUUUGGUGUAUACAAAAUAUGUUUUAUAGAAUUUAAAAUGUAUUUUUAUAUAUAAUUUUACGAAAUAUUAUCAAAAUAUAUUGAAAUGUUAAGAAAAAAUAGAAAUGAACUUCAUUUGUGAAUAUAAAACAAAUAAUACAAUGUUUAAUGUUUGUACUUUAUGUGUUUAUUAAUUAUAGAAUUUUUACUGCAUAUUGUUAUAAAUAUAUAUAUAUAUAUAUUUUAAAAACAUUUGAAAAGACUAAACACACUAUUAUUUCAAGACUCUGAUCUUAUAACGUGUGUUACUAUUUUCAGAAUUUGAUGUUGAUGAGGAACUAGAAGCCAUGGGUAAGGAAAUGGUGGCAUAUUGUGGAGGACUACCAUUAGCCAUUAAAGUGUUGGGAGGCUUGUUAGCUAAUAAAACCAUGGUUGAAGAGUGGAAAAGAGUAGAUGACAAUAUUCAAACUCAGAUAGUUCGCAUAGAUGACAAAAGUCAAGAUUCUGUUUACCGAGUAUUGUCUAUGAGCUAUGAAGAUUUGCCAAUGCAGUUAAAGCAUUGCUUCCUAUACCUAGCUCAUUUUCCCGAAGAUGACAAGAUACAAGUGGACAGAUUAUAUUAUCUAUGGGCAGCAGAAGGCAUAAUAAAGUCAAGUGGCGAUGGAGAAUAACGAGUCAAGGUCCAACCGGGCAAUCCGGUUUUCAAAACACUAGUCAUCACCAUAAUGAUUCUUUUUUUUAGAGAAAUAUGUUAGCCAUCUAAACAUAUAAUAUAAUACUCAUUAAACUAAGUAUUAAAUUAAUUAUUAAUGUACAAAACAUAUUAUUCCUUCUUUGCUUAAGUAUAAGCUACAAAAUUACAUAAUGUGAUAAAUAUAUAUAAGGAGUUUUCUUGCGCCAUGCGCAAAUAUACUAAUUUUUAGCUAAAUUUUUAUUUAUUUUAUUUUAAAUAAAAAUAAAUUUACGUUUUCAUACUAUUAUUUUUAUAUUUUAAAUUCAUCGGUCUGGAAAAGAGUGAAAUCACAACUAUUUUUUUGUAAUUUUGUUUCAUUUGAUUUGUUUUAUUUAUUUUAAUUUUAUUUUAUAUGAAUUUUAUUGGAGAAGAAUUAUAUUUUAUAUAACUUUGAAUUUUAUUUAUUUAUAUUUAGUGAUUAUUUAUUUUGAAUAUGUUUCUUAUCCUCUAAGUGUAUAAAUUUUAAUAAUGAUUGGGUUUCUGUUUAAAUGUAUAGCUAAUAUGUUAAACUUGUAAACUCAAUUUCUUAAUUAAUCAAAUAAACUAAUGGAUGCUACUAAAAUUUUAAACAUUUAAUCAUCCAAAAAAAUUGAUUAGCAUUGCUUUAGUUUUGUGUUCCCUAAUGCACACUUACACUUUAUUUUAAUAAAAUAUAAAAUAUAUAUAGAAAAUAUGAUAAAUAAGUUAAUUUAAAAUUAAAAUAUAAUUAUAUUUAGUUUAUUUUUAUAAAUAUGAUAUAUAUAAUUUUAUUUUAUUUCAAUGGUGAUAUAUGAAUUAUUAGUUAUUAAUAUACUUUAAAAGUCUUGCCAAAAUAAACAUUUACACAGAAAUGCUAACUUCUAAAUAGUGAUAUAAACAUUAUUAGUCAUUACCAUUUUUAUAAAUUCUUACUAAAAAUAUAUAGAUUUGUAAAAGUUAUUAUUAUUACCAUAUUUAAAAGUCUUUAACAAAAAUAUAAAUUUUUAUAAGAAAAUUUUCAUGUCAAAUUAACUUGAUCUCAUGUCAUUAUUUUCUAAAAACAUGUCAUUUUUUUGGGUGAGAAUGAACACUGUGAUGACAUGUGUACAAAACCACUUUGCAAUUAAUAUUUAGGAGAUACUACAAUCAAUGACUUUGAAUAAUAAUGAUUUGAUAACAAUUUGUGUAUCAUCCAUCAUCUUUAUUUAAUUUUAAAUUAUUAAAAUAAAUUAAUUAAUCAUAUUAAUCAUCUAAUAAAAAAUAGAUUUUCCUUAUAUUUUGAAUUUUAAAGAUGACUAUAAAUUACUAAAAUUGUUAAAAUUAAUGGUUUAAUUUUAUUAUUAUAAUAAGAUACAAAUGAUCAUAAGAACUUAUGAAUAUGAAAUUUCAUUUAAUAGAACUGUAGAUUAAAAUAUAUAUAUAUAUAUAUAUAUAUAUAUAUAUAUAUAUAUUUUAAUAUCGUUUAAAUUUAGCUGUAUAUAUAUAUAUUUUUUUUUCUGAACAUUUGAAAAGACUAGAGACAUUAUUUCAAGGCUCUAAUGUUAUAAUAUGUGUUACUGUUUUCAGAAUUUAUUGUUGAUGAAGAACUAGAAGCCAUGGGUAAGAAAAUGGUCACACAUUGUGGAGGACUACCAUUAGCCGUUAAAGUGUUGGGAGGCUUGUUAGCUAAUAAAACCAUGGUUGAAGAGUGGAAAAGAGUAGAUGACAAUAUUCAAAGUCAGAUAGUUCGCAUAGAUGACAAAAGUCAAGAUUCUGUGUACCGAGUAUUGUCUAUGAGCUAUGAAGAUUUGCCAAUGCAGUUAAAGCAUUGCUUCCUCUACCUAGCUCAUUUUCCUGAAGAUGACAAGAUACAAGUGGACAGAUUAUAUUAUCUAUGGGCAGCAGAAGGCAUAAUAAAGUCAAGUGGCGAUGGAGAAACCACUUGGGAAAUUGGAGAAUACUACAUAGACGAGCUAGUACGGAGAAAUAUGAUUAUUGGAGUAAAAGAGGAUUUGAGUUGCAGAUGGGAGUAUUGUCAAAUGCAUGACAUGAUGAGAGAAGUAUGUUUAUAUAAAGCCAAAGAAGAGAACUUUCUUCAGUUUAUCGAAGUCCCUACUUCUUCCAUCUCCACCAUCAAUGCUCAUACUCCUACCAGAUAUCGCAGACUCGUAGUACACGGUGGUGGUAAUGCAUUUGAUAUGCUGGGAUGUAAAAACAAUAAAAAAGUUAGAUCUGUUUUGGGGUUUGAACUCGACAGCAACUUGUGGAAGCAGUCAGCUCAAGGACUCAGAAAUUUACAAUUACUUAGGGUCUUACAUCUGAGUUUAGAUUAUAAAAGCGACUCUAGAGGGUGGAGAAUACCUUCGAGCAUUGGAAAACUCAUUCAUUUGAGAUAUUUGAGCUUAGACAUGGGUUGGGCAACUCAUGUACCUUCUUCUUUACGGAAUCUAAAGCUUCUAAUCUAUUUGAGAAUUUCCUCCUGGGGACUGGAAAGAGUUCAUCUGCCAAGUAUCUUUAACGAGAUGGUACAGUUGAGGGUCCUGAUUCUUCCCCGUUCUUUUGACGCUAAAACAAAGUUGGAAUUGGGUAAUCUCGUGAACCUGGAGUACCUGAUCGGCUUCCGAUCAGAAUACGGUAGCAUCACAGACUUCCUCCGGAUGAAAAAGCUCAGGACUCUCGAGACCUGGAGAAGCUUACAUUGAUCAAUGAGAACAACAAAUCCGAUGGGGUUUAUGAUUUGGAUUUCGUUUGGAAUUUCAUUAAGCUAAGGCAUUUAGUGAUAUGGAUGCAUAUGCCAAGGCUUCCUGAUCACUCUCGAUUUCCUCCCCACCUUGCACACAUAUCUCUAAUUAACUGUAAAAUGGAGGAGGAUCCACUGCAGAUUCUGGAAAAGUUGCUUCAUUUAAAGUCGGUUGAAUUAGGUUACAGAUCUUUCGUGGGGAGGAAGAUGGUGUGUUCAAAAGGUGGAUUCCCUCAAUUAUGUAAUCUAGAAAUAGAGUUACUAAACGACUUGGAAGAGUGGGUAAUCGAAGAAGGGUCGAUGCCAUGUCUUCGUACCUUGUCUAUAUGGUUCUGUGACAAGUUGAAGGAGCUACCGGAAGGGCUCAAGUAUAUCACUUCUUUAAAGGAACUGGAAAUCAUACAUAAGAACAAGGAGUGGGAGACGAAACUCGUACCAGGUGGGGAAAGUUACCACAAAGUCCAACACAUUGUUACCACUAUGAUGGCGACGAAUAAGGAGAGUAAACCGGUCUCAGGUAUGUUUUUUUGGUAUAAUGUCAAUAUUGUUCUUCUUGAAGUUUUGUGUGCAAGUCUCAACUAUCUAACCUUUUUAUUAUUCGGUUUUCAGGUGAACCUACUCAGGAUCAGUACCCACCACUACCGAUUGUGUGAUAUGAUAAUAAGUCGUUUUUGUUGUAUUGGUGUGUGAAGUUUACAUAUCUUGUUUGUGAUAUAUUCCGUUUAUCUAUUUGCAUGCUCAUUCACUGUAAUGCUAAGUUUGAAAUACAUUAUUUGUAUGUUGAACCAUAUCUUAUUCGAUGUUCUCCGUUGUGUGUGCUUAGUUGACUUGUAUAGUUACCGAACCGAACCUGAGUUUUCCAAAUUUGUCUUUUACUACUAAACCGGACAAAUUGAUGGUUUAAAAACAAAACUCGGUCUGGAUUAUAAUAAAAUCAGAUCAUGAGAGACUACCAAACAAGAGAGUCCUUUCGAUCUCUGCAAAUUUGUUUUUGACUCUAAUUAAGAGGAGAAGAAGUGUACUAGUUGAAGCGAAGAAUCCAAAACGCGGUGAUCAAUCGCCAAACGUAUGCAUAACUGGGUUAGAGCUUCCUCUUCCGAUCUCACGGGAACUCCUCCACAGCCUAGGAGGUAAAUUAAUUACUUCUUCUCCAUUCAAUUUUCGAUUUUAAUUUCAGCUGCUGAUUUUUAUUCUUCAAUCAGUGGACAUACAGCUGUCAAUGUCGGAAAAUCCAUGGUCGUGGUGUUCGGCGGUCUCGUCGACAAAAAGUUCCUCAACGACAUCAUUGUUUAUGACAUUGGUAAUAUCAUACUUCAGCCUAGGAUUAUUGAUUCCUUGAUCCAAAGAAGAUGCUUUUUUUUUAAAUUUCCCUUGAGUUACUGUCUUCGCUUGUAAUAUAAAGACUAGUGUUUCUUGUAGUUUAUUGUGUGUUAAGCUUAGUUAGGCUAAUGCGUACAUCAAAGAUAGAGUUACUUUGCAAAAAAAAAACUGUAGAAAACUGAAAACUUCACCACUAAAAUUAUUAGACUCACUAUAGGAUACUCUCUUUCUUAUUCCGCAUGGCAUUGUUUUAAGUACCAGUGAAAUUAGUUUCUUUACGGUCUGCUAGUAUAUGUGGUGGUUAUAUCAAGUACAUAGUUUCCUAUCCAGCUUUUUUAAUCGGUUUGUCUUAUGAUUUGCUUCUUCUUUAUCCUGUCGACUAGAAAACAAACUCUGGUUUGAGCCAGAGUGUACUGGCAGCGUUUCUGAAGGAAAAGUUGGCCCUACACCUCGCGCCUUUCAUGUUGCCAUAACAAUUGAUUGCCAUAUGUUCAUCUUUGGUGGACGUUCUGGUGGCAAGAGGUACUCACUACUAUAUAUUUUCUAGUUAGAAGCGUUUUUACAUUUCUACUUUCACCGGAAUAGCUUAUUUCUAGAAAUAAAUCAAUUUCAGAUUGGGUGACUUCUGGGUUCUAGAUACAGGUAAGUGUACAAUCAUAACAAUGUCAGUGACAUUAUGUCACUGAGACCUGCCUGGGAACUUUUUAAUACCCUGCUGCUGACAUUUUCUGCAGAUAUAUGGCAGUGGUCUGAGCUAACCAGCUUUGGCGACUUACCUACACCUCGUGAUUUUUCUGCUGCCGCUGCUAUUGGCAACCAGAAAAUCGUGUUGUGAGUAUCUGAAAUUUUAGACGUUCCAUCAGCUUGUUUCCUGCAUUGGCUUAGCCUAUGAUUAUUGGCAGGUGUGGCGGCUGGGAUGGUAAAAAAUGGCUGUCAGAUGUGUAUGUUAUGGAUACAAGUAAAACUUUAUACCUCUCGUCUACUUCAGUUUUGUAAUAAACUGUUUUUAAGUUUCUGAUAAUGUCAGCUUGCUUUGUAUUUGCUAGUGUCCCUUGAAUGGAUGGAGCUGUCGGUUUCGGGGUCGUUACCGCCUCCUAGAUGUGGUCAUACAGCCACCAUGGUUGAGAAACGUUUACUUGUUUUUGGUGGCCGAGGUAUAACACCAGAACCAGAAUCUUUGUUUUGCUUGAGCUGAUGACAACUAAACUGAGACUAUGGUUAUCUUUGACAGGAGGUGGUGGCCCUAUCAUGGGUGAUCUUUGGGCUUUGAAGGGUUUAAUAGAUGAAGGUUCAUCCUUACUUAAAUUCUUAAAAAUUGCAUUGUUAUGUUAUGUUUGCUAAUCUUAUUGUGGUUUACCUUUGUUGUGGAAGAAAGAACGUGAAACACCUGGAUGGACCCAACUAAAGCUUCCUGGUCAAGCACCAUCAGCUCGAUGUGGUCACACUGUCACAUCCGGAGGACAUUAUGUAUGUCUAUUUCAGCUUCCGUUUGCUCUUUUGUAUAAAUAGGUUCGCAUGACAUACAUCACUCACAUCAUUAAUUUUCAUGUAUGAAGCUUCUGUUAUUUGGGGGACAUGGAACUGGUGGAUGGCUGAGUCGUUAUGAUGUCUAUUAUAAUGACACUAUAAUUUUAGACAAAGGUAAAUUCUUGCUUAUGAGAUUCGUCACUCUAAAUUUAUAUAUUCACAUUCUAGUAACUGCUCAGUGGAAGCGCUUACCGAUAAGCAAUGAUGAGCCUCCUCCACCUCGAGCUUACCAUACAAUGACUAGUAUUGGAGCUCGUCAUCUUUUAAUUGGUGGUUUUGAUGGAAAAUCAACCUUCGGUGAUCUUUGGUGGUUGGUUCCUGAAGGUAUCUUUCUCUUAUUUUAUACUGAUGUUUUAGUCCAACUUAGCUAUCGUUCUGUGUACACGCAUCAUCAGUUACUUAUAGUUGGAAACUCUUUAGGCAAUUGUAGAGACACUUAAUUUCUAGCAUAAUCUUUUUUUUUCUUCUUUAUCAAGUUUGUAUUGAAAGUUUUGAAGUUUUACUGAACUGUUUAGCCUUCUGAAAAUGUUGUUAUUCGUUUUUUUUCUUUUUUUCUUUUCUCAGAUGAUCCCAUAGCCAAGAGGUCUUCCGUACCUCAACUUAGAAACCCUCCUGAGACUAAAGAGUCAGAGAGAGAUUUGGAUACGGUAACUGUGGUUCCUGCUCAUCAUCUUAUGUGUUUCUCGCCAAUGCAGUUAAAUUAGCUUUUCAACGUGUUUUAACACCAAGAGUUUGGUCACAGCAGGAAAGAGGACAAGAGGGAUUCACUAUCGUCGACUUGCAAAAGAAAAUGGGAAUCUCUGUUGCAUCAGGGUUACUACGCCGUCAUAUCCCCGAGGAGUCAGAAGAUCAAGAGUUCGUUGAGUUAGGAACCAGAUUGAUUGAGGGAGAUGUAAUUGAUAAUCGAACCUCCAUGAUUCAGGUUAAUUUUUCCUCUUGUCUUUUUCAGGAUGUGUGAUUGUGUUAUUCUUGUACUGAAAAUGCUUCUCAACGAUUAGAUGGCAGCUGAAGCACUUCGUCAACAUUGGAAAGAGUCCACUCCUGAGACUUUGCAGUUAAAAGAGCUUAAUGCCUUGCUUCGAGAUUAUCAGCGACUUGUUUCCCGAAAAUACACGUGAGUUCUUACAUUAUCUUGUUUAUGUAGAUUAUCUUUUAUUUCAAUAAAAAUGGUUGUUCUUUGAUUGCGCUUGGAAUGGCAUUAGAAUAACUUAGAUAAAUCUCCUGAGAGUUUAGGAGUGUUAUAUAGAGUUAAUAUCAAUAUCAUUUUUUGUGUCUUGAAUAGCCCUUGAGACUUUUUAAUCCAAGAAUUGCCAAAACUGAUUCAUUUCUUAAUGUUGUGCAGUCCUCACAUAAAAGUUGAUUGUAAAUGCAUCGCUUUGUACCCCUUUGAAAAGUAUUAAACAUCAUGAAAUUUCACAUUUGAUUCUUCCUUUCCGUCACACAUGUUUGUUUUCGUUGUUGUGGCGUGAGUCUCAGAGCACAGAGCAGCUUAACAUCUACUGAUUUUGGCCUCCCCGGAAAGCAGACGUUUACGUUUUAUCAUAUCAAAACUUCUUCCGAGGUAAUACCACAUACUUUCCUCCUGUUAUGAGCUCUCUUGAACAUUUGACAGCAAUCAAUCAACACAUCAGGCUCUUGGCACAUGCUCUGACAUGUCAAUUUAACAUUUUGUUAUUCUCAGUUACGGAUGGAUGACAUCCCGAAGUUGCUGGAAGAAUACAAAACCCUUGUAAUCUGAUUGAGGAGCUCUGCCAUGAAACUCACAAGGAGAAUACAAAACUCAUCAAGUAGCUGCCAAGAAGAUCACCAAGAUUGCUAUCAGCACUACCAUUGCAAACAACAAAACUAAAAAAAGUCUCAACAGAAUCAUAUAUCUGAUAGACAACAAGACAUGUACAACUUCUUUUUAGUCAAGAACAAAAACAUGUACCCAUAUGUAAGAUUUUCCAUUAUCUCCACUUAAUCCGUAUCUCAGCGUCUGCUCUUUAUUUUUCUAGCCUCUUGCAUUUUACUUUGAAAAUAGAUUGAUUUGCCUUGAAGCUAAUGUUCGAACCCCGAUCCAUCUUUGAGCAACUGUUUUAGUUCCGUGUCUAGGAGACCAGUGUUCUGCACUAUCGAAUCUUGGUCUCCUACUUGAGAUGUGAUGCUUCCAUACAAUGUCCAGCCACUGGCGUUGCCUAGUAAUUAAUAUCAUCUCCACCAUAUCAAUAUUUGCUGCAUCCCCUCCUCCAUAAGAAACAUAAAAUAUAAAAGUUAGGUAGCUCUAAAACACUUCUGAUCAUAACAAAAAUUAAGAUCUAAACCACACUUGAUGAUUACGUAAGUUUGUUCGUAAUUUUUACCAAUCUUUGGUAUGAGGAACUGGAGAAAAGAUUCCAAAUAGACUGAGGAAGAAGGACAUGCAGAUUUCAGAGAUUUGAUAGUUUGGUGUCAAGGCCACAAAGCAUCAAGCUUGUUAACAUGUCGUAGUAGUAGAACCAGAAGAACUUGACCACAGUACGGUCGUAUCCUAUCAUUGAGUAAAGGAUUAGAGUAUGUAAACUCUAGUUUGAAUGGUGUCAUACUACAUGAUCUAAUAACUUUGUCUAUAUUACCAAUUUUCCCAAUUAAUUAUUUCUAACGAAAAUAUAAUGUAUAAAUAUCAAUGAAUAUAUUUUGAAAGUUGAAAAUAAGAGAGAAAUUUUUUUUUACCAAAAAGAAUAAUAAGGGAGAAACUAUAGUGAAUGUUUCGAGUGGGCCUAAAGCAAAUGCAUUAUUGCCUUGCGAAAAAAUCAUUAUCGCCAGAGACUAGAAAAAAACUCCUAUUUUCUUUUUAAUUCAAAAUUAGAACCACAAGAUGACUGUCAUAGACUGUCGAUACUCUUUCAUUAUUUUUUCUUCCAAAGAACGUCGCUAAGCAAGUUGCAGAUCUGUUACAUGUAAGGUAAAUCACGUUCUUGUAUCAUUAUUUGUCUGUUUAACUUGCUCUGAUCUGUCUUUUGGGCUCUGUGGUGGUUGAAUCUGAAUUUAAAAACAAAAAUUCGUUGCAUUGUUACAAAUCUUGUUUUACGAAUUUAAAGCAUUUAAUCAUCAAUGCUUGAAUAAAAGUAAGUUAAGUAAAGUUCCUCUGACAGGUAUCAUGUUUUAUUAGAUCAACCAAGGAUUAUCAUAACCGGUUUUAAAUCUUACUAUACAAGUUUGUACUCAUAUGUUGACGGUGGAACAGGAGAAUAGCGAUGGCUGAGGGAAUUGUAUCGUUUGGAGUGCAGAGACUCUGGGAGCUCUUGGCUCGAGAAUCUGAGAGACUGCAGGGAGUUCAUGAGAAAGUUGAUGAUCUAAAAUGUCAGAUGAGAAUGUUACAGUCGUUGUUGAAAGAUGCAGAUGCCAAGAAACAUGGGAGUGAAGUAGUGAGAAACUUCUUGGAAGAUGUCAAAGACAUUGUUUUUGAUGCUGAAGAUAUAAUUGAAUCCUUUCUUUUGAAAGAAUUGAGUGGAAACCAAAAAGGGAUCAAGAGGCAUCUGAAAAGACUUUCUUGUUUCUUAGUGGAUCGCCGAAAUAUUUCUAUGGACAUUGAAGGCAUAACUAAGAGAAUGUCCAAGCUUGUCGAGCAAAUGCAGAGCUUUGGAAUACAACAGAUCGUCUACAGAUCACCGUCUCUACAAGAGAGACAGAGGGAAAUCCAACAAACAUAUCCUGAGAAAUCUCAAAAGGAUCUUGUGGCCGUGGAACAGAGUGUUAAGGAACUGGUUGGUCAGUUGGUGGAGAAUGAUCGCAUCCAAGUAGUUUCCAUAUCCGGGAUGGGUGGUAUUGGAAAAACCACUCUUGCGAGACAAGUCUUUCAUCAUGACAUUGUUCGAAGUCAUUUUGAUGGAUUCGCGUGGAUCUGCGUUUCGCAAGAUUUUAAGCGGAAGGAUAUUUGGCAAAAGUUAUUGCAAGACCUUAGACCACAUGAUAAGGGCAUCGAACAUAUGAAUGAGAAUACACUCCAGGCUGAGCUCUUUCACUUGUUGGAGACAUCUAAAUAUUUAAUUGUCAUGGAUGAUGUAUGGAAAAAAGAAGACUGGGAUAUAAUAAAACACGUUUUCCCCCAAGAAAGAAGAGGUGAGCUCUCUAAUUGUACAUACAUUACUUAAGAACUCUCCAUAGCUAUUUCAUAAAUACCUUUUCAGUCUCUGAGAUGAAAGGAAAUACAAUUGCAGGUUGGAAGAUGAUUCUUACUUCACGUGAUGAAAGUGUUGGUUUCCAUGCAGACCGAACAUGUUUUCCCUUUAGACCAAAAACUCUUACUCCUGAAGAAAGUUGGAAGCUAUGUGAGAGCAUAGCAUUCCCUAGAAGAGAGAUAACAGGUACGUUUUUAAUACAAGAAUCAUAUGAAUCAUUAAGGCCAAAAAGCAUGAUAUCUCUUACAUGCCUUCUUAUAAAAAAACUUGUGUAGUAAUUCCCAAAUUAUCGUCUCUGGAAUGACAUACACUAAAAACUCUAUAAAUUAAUAAUACUAAAACUAUGAAAUUUUAUUAAUUUAUAGAAUUACUAAUUUUUUCAAAGUUUCAGUUUUAGAUUUUUUUUACACUAUUUUUAUUAUAAAAACUAGGUAAGGAACCCGUGCGAUAUCGCACGGGAACUCAUUUUAUAAAUUGAUAGUAAAGAUAUACACAUUAAAAAAUUAUGCAGAAUUUAAAUUAUUAUCUUGAACUUAUUUUAAUAAGAUUACAAAUAUGUCACGUUGUGGAAUUUAUACUUUUGUAUAAAACAUCUUAUUGUGCUAUCAAAAAAAGUUCAUGUGACAUUAAUGUAAAACUAAAAUAAGGAGAAAAUACAUAUCUUUUGAUUUUCCAUAAAAUUAAAAAAAUAUAUAAUAUAAGUAAAUUGAGAAAUAACCACAAACCAUAUCAAUAAAAGUAUUCAAAAUGAAAAGACACAUAGUUUCAUAUAUCAUAUAUUGUUUUACUGAAAAUAUUUGUCAAAUAACUUAUUAGUGACAAUAUUUUAUUUGUUUCAAUUAUUGUUAUACCAGCCAAAAUAGAACUAAUUAUAUAUUAAUUUACUUUUUAUAGUAACAAUAAACUCUUGACUAACAAAACUUUCACUAAAAUGACAGUAGGACAUUGUCUUCAGCCUCAUUGUCAAUUUUAUUUUCAUGUAUACUAUAUUUAAUAUCAAUUUUCUUUAAAAUAAAAUUAUCAUUUUAUGUAUUCAGAAUAACUAACAAGUUACAAUAGAUUUAACUAAUUCAGUUGGUUAUUUAAUAGAAUCUUUGAAAUAUAUUUGUUAACAUUAUAAAAGACUAUGUAUAUGAACCAUCAUAGGGAAUCAACUUUACUCAAUAUAUAUAUAUAUAUAUAUAUAUAAUAACUUUAAUGUUCUGUUUAUAUUUUAUUAGAAUAAAUAUUGUUUACAACUAUGCCUCCAUCUUUUUAAGUUUAUUCUUAUAGUUUUACAUGAUAUUUAGCUCCAACAACUUCUUGAACUACUUUCAAUUAUUUUCCGUGAUAUUUAAAUAAUUUUUCCUAUUUAAGAGACAAUAUUAGAAUUAUCAGUUUGUAGUAUAUUAAGAAAAUUUAUAUUUCUAUGUUGGUAAAAAUAGUUAUUAUUUUUAUAAAUUUAUUUACCUGCUCUAUUUUUGGGAAAAAUAUUAAGGAGAUUGGAUAUCAUAAUAAAUAUAUGUUGACUUAAGUUGAUAUGACAUUUCUCACUUAUAUUAUUUCCUUUAAUUUCCGGAAGAGUUCUUAUAAAACACCAGCACUUAUUAUAUUAAAACUAACAUAAUAAUUAUGGAUUUAAAUCAUGAUGACUUUUGUUGUAUCAAUAAAUAAUAUUUUUGAAGUCAAGGUUGUAUUGAGAUAUAAAUACUGUAGAACUCUAUCGGUUUCUCAAUCAAAUUUCCAAGCUUAGACUAAGAUAUAAGAAUAACAAAUAGAGCUAUGCAUGUUCAUAUGUAUUUGUUCAAAAAUCUUUGAAAAUAAUUUAACAGUGAAUCUCUAUCUUUUCUAAUCUAUAGAUUGUUGUCAUUUUUUUUGUGAUUUUUCUAUUCCCACAACAACUUAUAUAGAUGACUAAAGGUUACAAUGGUUGAUACCAAACAUUGCAAUGGUUAGAUAAUAGUUGCAAUAAUUAACAUCAGAAGUUACAAUGGAUUAUCACCAAAUACUACAAUCACUAACAUUGCAAUGAUUUAUUACCAAAGAUUGCAUUGGUUCUUCACUAAAAUUAUUGUCACCAACAGUUGCAGCGAUAUCUUUAGACAUUUUGAUAACUUUUUUUAACAAAUAAAAAAAUUUAGGAUGAAAAACACAUCCUUAUACAUUUUAACAACAUCUUUUAAACCAAUUUAAUUCCUAAAAUGAAAGUAACAUUUUUAAGAUGAAAGGAUCCAUACUUAUAUUUUUUACAAUAUUUUUUGAAGAACGCAAUUUUUAAUAUGAAAAGACACAUUGUUAAGAUCAAAAAUUAUAACCAUUGAUAUUUAUUUGGAGAAAAUAUACAUUUUUACACAUUUUGAUAAUUUUUUAACAAAUGAAAAUUUAGGAUGAAAAGACAUAUUUUAUACGUUUUAGGAACUUACUUUAAACCAAUGCAAUUCUUAAAAUGAAAUGACAUAUUAUUAAGAUGAAAAGUUACAUACUUAUAUAUGUGACAACAUUUUUUAAAGUAGUGUCAUUUUUAAGAUGAAAAGACACUUCGUUAGGAUGAAAAGUUACAACCUUUGACAUUUAUUUGGAGAAAAUAUAUAUUUUUAGACGUUUUGACAACUUUUAUUAAGAAAUACAGUUUUUUUUAGGAUUAAAAGAUACAUCUUUAUACAUUUUAACAAUUUCUUCAAAACAAAUGCAAUUCGACAAUGAAAAGACACAUUGUUAAGAUGAUAAUAUUUUUACUUAUAUAUUUGACAACAUUUUUUUAAAGCAAUGCCAUUUAAAUGAAAAAUAAUACUUUGUUAGGAUGAAAAAUUACAACAUUUAACAUUUAUUUUUUAACAAAUGCAAUUUGUAGGAUAAAAAGACACAUCCUUAUACAUUUUAACAACUUCUUUUAAACCAAUGCAAUUCUUAAAAAUGAAAAGACAUACUUUUAAGAUGAAAAGAUACAUACUUGUAUUUUUUUAGGACAUUUUUUAAUAAGAUAAAAAGACACUUUGAUAUAAUGAAAAGUUACAAUUUUUGACAUUUAUUUGGAUAAACCACAUCUUUAGACAUUUUGACAACUUUUUUUAAUAAAUGCAAUUUGUAUGAAACUUAUACUUAUACACUUUGACAAUUUCUCUUAACCCAAUGCAAUUUUAAAAAUAAAAUAAAAUGUACUAAUAUAUUUUAACGACACUUUUAAAACAAUGCUCUUUUUAAGAUGAAAUGACACAUAAUUACAAAGAGACACUUUUUGAGAUAUUUUAAUAAUUUUUUAAAAAAUUAUCUUAUAUAAUGAGAAGACACAAUUUUAAAACUAAUAUUUAUAGAAAAACACUUAUUAGGAUAUUUUAACAAAUUUUAAACUAAUAAUUUUACUUAUAGUCUAAGAAAUUCAACCUAUAAUAGUUUUGAUCUUGAGACUUCUAGUUUACAGAUGUGUAAACCAGUAAAUAGCCAUUUAAAUUUAAUUGAAUGCAAGACAAGAUUGAUAAAAGUCAACUACUUAUGUUCGCUAAAUAUCUUGGAAAAAGGUUCUAAAUUUAAAUUGUUAUUUUCCUAUAUAUACGUAACGACACAAGUGAUAAAAGAUGCUACUUUUGAUAAAUAAAUGGUCAUUAACGAAAUAUAGAUGCAAAUAACUAAAAAUAAAUAAAAAAUUUGUCAGAUUUGUUUGUUGUCAAAGAAAUUGUAAGAUGUGUUUUGCCUUUAGUUUUCGUUAAGAAUUGAAUAUAUUUAAAACUCUAGACUUUUACAUCAUAUUUGUUUGUCUCUAACCAACAAUUGAUAUGUUUCCGAGAAAUAAUAUAUAAAUAAAAAGAUCUUUUAAUGAGUUUUAUAAUCUCAGUAGUUCGCACAUCUCCAAACCAGGCAGUAGAAAACAAUGUAAAUUUGCAAUUCAUGAGUGGACAAUUAUAUUAUUUUGUGAACAAUUAUAUUGACAUGGGGGAUUCCUAAGUUUAAAAUGUGACACCUAUGCAGAUUUAAAUAUUCCAGUGGAAUUAAACCAUUCCCAUUAAAAAGAAAUUGAUGAUAAUUCCCACGAGAAUAACACUCUCCAAUUAAGAGACACAUUGUUUGAUUAACUCAUGACGGUCAUCACCAACCGGUUUUCCUCUAAUAGAUUUACUGAAUGACAGACAACCCAUUUUUUGUACAUCGUAAUUUGGAAAGCAUUAAUCUUAGACUCUGACAAAACGCAAGAACAACAACACAUAUAAAUUAGAUAUGUUGUAACAACUAUUAAAAAAAUUGAAUGAUGGAAAUCCUAAAUUUGUUUAAAGAAAAUGACGUUGAUAGUGGUUUUUGAAAAAAAAUAUAUGGGAUUAUGAUGAACAAUAACAAUGAAAACUCAUUGUAAACACGCUUUAGAGAGCAAAACAAAUAAAUCAAUUCUGAGAUUUUGGGUGGAAAGGUAAUUUAAGAGGAGAUGGAAAACGAUAACAGGAAUGAGUCUUUAAAAACACACACAUAUAUAUAGAUUGAUAAGGAAUGCUUCAUCUCAGAGUUGUAUUGUUUUGAGAUGGAGACUAUUCGGUGAAAAGAUGCAACACACCGCAGUUUUGUUUUUUUAUAUCAUUAAAUUCAAUCAAAUAUGACUGUUGGACUUAAAACUUUUUUCUUUUAAAAAGUGAUAAUAUCACCAGUUUUGGUAUGCUAUUAUAUAUAUAAUUUUUAAUAAUGAAAAGAUACAAUUUUAAAAAUUAAUAAUAUUCAGUUUGUUAUGAAAAUAUACAAUUUUUAUAAUGAACAUACACAAUUUUUCAAACUAAUACAUUUCAGUUUUUCUUAUGAAACAACACAACCAAAGUAGUUAUUUUGAAAAGACACAAUUAUUUAGAUUUUUAGAAAAUACACAACUUUUCAACAUAAAUGAGUUUCAUAACCUUUGGAAUUAAUCAGGAUUGCUAUUAUUAGUAGAUAAAAUACUUGAUUUUAUCAUAUAUAUAUAUAUAUAUUAAUUAACUUUUAGAAAUCCGACAUUUAUAUUGUUUUUGUUACACUAUUUGGUGUAUACAAAAUAUGUUUUAUAGAAUUUAAAAUUUAUUUUUAUAUAUAAUUUUACGAAAUAUUAUCAAAAUAUAUUGAAAUAUUAAGAAAAAAUAGAAAUGAACUUCAUUGUGAAUAUAAAACAAAUAAUACAAUGUUUAAUGUUUGUACUUUAGUGUGUUUAUUAAUUAUUGAAUUUUUUACUGCAUAUUGUUAUAAAUAUAUAUAUUUUAAGAACAUUUGACAAGACUAAACACAUUAUUAUUUCAAGACUCUGAUCUUAUAACGUGUGUUACUAUUUUCAGAAUUUGAUGUUGAUGAGGAACUAGAAGCCAUGGGUAAGGAAAUGGUGGCAUAUUGUGGAGGACUACCAUUAGCCGUUAAAGUGCUGGGAGGCUUGUUAUCUAAUAAAACCAUGGUUGAAGAGUGGAAAAGAGUAGAUGACAAUAUUCAAAGUCAGAUAGUUCGCAUAGAUGACAAAAGUCAAGAUUCUGUUUACCGAGUAUUGUCUAUGAGCUAUGAAGAUUUGCCAACGCAGUUAAAGCAUUGUUUCCUCUACCUAGCUCAUUUUCCCGAAGAUGACAAGAUACAAGUGGAGAGAUUGUAUUAUUAUUGGGAAGCAGAAGGAAUAAUAACGUCAAGUGGCGAUGGAGAAACCACUAGGAAAAUUGGAGAAGACUACAUAGAGGAGCUAGUAAGGAGAAAUAUGGUUAUUGGAGUAAAAGAGGAAUUGAGUUGCAGAUGGGAGUAUUGUCAAAUGCAUGACAUGAUGAGAGAAGUAUGUUUAUAUAAAGCCAAAGAAGAGAACUUUCUUCAGUUUAUCAAAGUCCAUACUUCUUCCACCUCUAACAUCAAUGCUCAUACUCCUACCAGAUCUCGCAGACUCGUAGUACACGGUGGUGGUAGUGCACUUGAUAUGCUGUUAUGUAAAAGCAAUCAAAAAGCUAGAUCUGUUUUGGGUUUUGGACUCGACAGCAACUUGUGGAAGCAGUCAGGUCAAGGACUCAGAAAUUUACUUUUACUUAGGGUCUUAGAUUUAAGUUUAGAAGAUAAAAGCGACUCUAGAGGAGGGAGAAUACCAUCCAGCAUUGGAAAGCUCAUUCAUUUGAGAUAUUUGAGCUUAGACAUGGGUAGUGCAACUGAUGUACCUUCUUCUUUACGGAAUCUAAAGCUUCUAAUCUAUUUGAGUAUUUACUCCAAUGAAAGAGUUCAUCUGCCAAGUAUCUUUAAAGAGAUGGUAGAGUUGAGGUUCCUGGCGCUUCCCCCUCUUAUUGACGCUAAAACAAAGUUGGAAUUGGGUAAUCUUGUGAACCUGGAGUGCUUGACCGGCUUCCGAUCAGAAAACGGUAGCAUCACAGACUUCCUCCGAAUGAAAAAGCUCAGGAAUCUCGAGAUACAUCUCAAAGGCAGGUAUACUUCUGAAAUUCUAGCGUCAUCUCUCUGUGAAUUAAGAAACCUGGAGGUGCUUAGCUUGAUCGAUGAGUACCGAUCCGGUGGGGCUUAUGAUGUGGAUUUCGUUUGGAAUUUCAUUAAGCUAAGGCAUUUAGGGCUGAGCAUACAUGUGACAAGGCUUCCUGAUCACUCUCGAUUUCCUCCCCACCUUGCACACAUAUCUCUAUGUUUCUGUGAAUUGGAGGAGGAUCCACUGCAGAUUCUGGAAAAGUUGCUUCAUUUAAAGUCGGUUGUAUUACAAUACAGAUCUUUCGUGGGGAGGAAGAUGGUGUGUUCAAAAGGUGGAUUCCCUCAAUUAUGUAAGCUAGACAUAGUGUCCCUAUACGACUUGGAAGAGUGGGUAAUCGAAGAAGGGUCGAUGCCAUGUCUUCGUACCUUGGAAAUAUGGUAUUGUGAAAAGUUGAAGGAGCUACCGGAAGGGCUCAAGUAUAUCACUUCUUUAAAGGAACUGGAUAUCGCACAUAAGAACAAGGAGUGGAAGACGAAACUCGUACCAGGUGGGGAAAGUUACCACAAAGUCCAACACAUUCCUAGUGUUCAAUUACACUAUCAUAGCGACGACUCUGAUAUUGACGAAUAAGGAGAAUACAACCGUCUCAGGUAUAAUAUUCUUUUUGGUAUAAUGUCAAUAUUGUUCAUUUUGUUUGUUAUGUAUCCUCCUUGAAGUUUAGUGUGAAAGUCUAAACAGCUGUUAUUCGGUUUUCAGGUGAACCUACUCAGGAUCAGUACCCACCACUAUCGAUUGUGUGAUGUGAUAAUAAGUCGUUUUUGUUGUAUUGGUGUAUGAAGUUUACAUAUCUUGUUUGUGAUAUAUUCCGUUUAUCUGUUUGCAUGCUCAUUCACUGUAAUACUAAGUUUGAAAUACAUUAUUUGUAUGUUGAACCAUAUCUUCUUCGAUGUCUCCGUUGUGUGUGCUUCGUUGAUUUGUUUAGUCCGAACUGGAGAUAGAAUGGUGCUUUGAUAGUGUGAUCACUGAACAUCAUUCUUAACACGAUUUUAUCAUUUGGUUUAACGAAGGUCAAGAUAUUGAGGGAACCCUGAGUUUUCCAAAAAUUUUAAGUAACAAGAGAAACCGGUUAAUUCCAAUCCAGUUCUGUAAUUUGUCUGUCACUACCAAACCGGACCAUAUUGAUGGUUUAAAAACAAAGCUCGGUCUGGAUUAUAAUAUCAAAGAUUAAACAAAGAGUCCUUUCGAUCUCUGCAAAUUUGUUUUGACUCUGAAGAGGAGAAGAAGUGUACUUUCAAUCGCCAAGCGUAUGCAUAACUGGGUUAGAGCUUCCUCAUCCGAUUUCACCGGAACUCCUCCACAGCCCAGGAGGUAAAUUAAUUACUUCUUCUCCAUUCAAUUUUCGAUUUUAAUUUCAGCUGAUGUUUUUUAUUCUUCAUCAGUGGACAUACAGCUGUCAAUGUCGGAAAAUCCAUGGUCGUGGUGUUCGGCGGCCUCGUCGACAAGAAGUUCCUCAACGACAUCAUUGUUUAUGACAUUGGUAAUAUCAUACUUUAGCCUUAGGAUUAUUGUUUCCUUGCUUCAAGAAAGAUGCUUUCUUUCUCACGAGUUACGUUCUUGGCUUGCUCUGUUUGUAAUGACUAUUGUCUCUAGUAGUUUAUUUGAUAGAACGAUGCUUACAUCAAAGAUAGUUACUUUGCAACAAAAAAAAAAAACUAUAGAAAGCUGAAAACUUCAAGAUGAGAUUAUUCGAUUCGGUGUUGUUGAAGAGGAAUCAGAUGGAUACUCUCUUUUCUUAUUUUGCUAGUUUUUGUUUCUGAGCUUCUUUUGUCCCCUCCUUGGCCUUGUUUUAAGUAUCAUACUAGAUCUUGACCCGCACACCCGUGCGGAUGUAUUUAAAAAAAAAAAUAUGAUAUAUGAUGUUAUUUGCUUUUUAUGUCACUAUUUAGGGUUGGGCAAAAACUCAAAUUCGAAAAAUCAAACCGAUCCGAUCCCAAUCCAAAUAAGUAGUACUAAAUCCGAACCAGAAUUGAUUAAAUAUCCGAAUUAUUCAAAAUUUUGGUAUUUGAAGAAUUGAAACCUAAUCCGAUCUGAACCGAAUUAUUUUUAAUAUAUAUAAAAACGUCCAUAAUAUAUAUACAACUAAUUAAACGUAAAUAUCUUAAAUAAUUAAAAAAUACUCAAAUCUCCAAAAAUACUUAAAUAAUUAUUAAUUCUCUAUCCAAAUAUUUAAACCAAACCUAUUUAAAUUGGUUAUCCAAAUCAGAACCAAAUCCUCAAAGAUCUGAACUGAACACGAAAUCCCAAAAAGACCCGAAAACGAACCCGAACGCCCACCCAUAAUCACUAUUAUAUAUAUAUAUGUUAUCAUAGGUUACAAAAUAUGUGUUAUCAUAUAAUUAAUCGUAUUUUAUACGUACCAUCAAAUAAGUUUUCUUAUAAUUAAUAAUAUUUUAUACGUACAAUCAUAUAAAUAAUCACAUAUAUUAUAUUUUAAAAUUUAAUGUGAAAUAUAAAAACCAUAAUUUAAGUUGGUGUUUGAAAUUGGGCUUUGUAUUGUAUUAUUAUUAAAUAUAUUGAAAACAUUUUUAUAAUAGUUACUGGAAAAUAUGUUAGUAAAAAUCAAAUUUUGAAUAUAUGUAUAUUUUUGAAUGAAUUUUUGAUAUAAAUCAAUUUUAAGUUAUUACUUUGAUUUGAACAUAUAUAUCAAGUAACAUAUACCUAUUAGUUUUUAAUAUAAUGUAAUGGACUUUCAAUUUUUUUAAGUAGCAUAAGCCCAUUAUCUUUUUUUCUAACUUACUAUUAUCCAUGUUUUCAAUUUUAACUACUAUCCACAUUACCAAACAAUCCCAUUUUGUACUUGAGUUUUAAUAAGAUAGAUGUUCAGCUUUUUUAAUCAUGUGAUAAUUGGUGGUCUUAUGAUUUGCUUCUUCUUUAAUCCUGUCGACUAGAAAACAAACUCUGGUUUGAGCCAGAAUGUACUGGCAGCGUAUCUGAAGGAAAAGUUGGUCCUACACCUCGCGCCUUUCAUUUUGCCAUCACUAUUGAUUGUCAUAUGUUCAUCUUUGGUGGACGUUCUGGUGGCAAGAGGUACGCACUACUAUUUAUUUGCUAGCUGUAAGCGUUUUUACAUUCUAAAUAGCUUAUUUCUAUAAAUCAAUUUCAGGUUGGGUGACUUCUGGGUUCUAGAUACUGGUAAGUGUGCUUCGGAGUUUUUAUUUCUCUGCUUUGGCACUUCUAUGAGACACCUAUUAAUGACAUUUUCUGCAGAUAUAUGGCAGUGGUCUGAGCUAACCAGCUUUGGCGACUUACCUACGCCUCGUGAUUUUUCUGCUGCCGCUGCUAUUGGCAACCAGAAAAUUGUGUUGUGAGUAUCAUAAAUUUUAGACGUUCCAUCAGCUUGUUGCCUGCAUUGGCUUAACCUAUGACCAUUGGCAGGUGUGGCGGCUGGGAUGGUAAAAAAUGGCUGUCAGAUGUGUAUGUUAUGGACACAAGUAAAACACUUUAUACCUCUCGUCUACUUCAGUUUUGUGAUAAAACUUGUUUUAAGUUUAUGAUAAUGUCAGCUUUUCUUGGUAUUUGCUAGUGUCUCUUGAAUGGAUGGAGCUGUCAGUUUCGGGGUCGUUGCCGCCUCCUAGAUGUGGUCAUACAGCCACCAUGGUUGAGAAGCGUUUACUUGUUUUUGGUGGCCGAGGUAAUACCAAAAUUAAAAAAAAACUGUAGAUUCUUGAUGUUGACUUAUCGCCAUUCCUUUAAUAAGUUAAGGUGUUUGCAUACUAAACCAAUCACCACAACUGAGGAGUGUUCUUGGCGGACUCGCAUUAUGGAUAAAAUUCAAAACUGAAUGAUUUAUUUGCUAUUUUACUUUUUUCAUUCAUCAAACAUGUUAAGGAUGCUGAUGUGUUUGGUUUACCCGUUGCUGUUAAUUAAUAACUUUCAUUUAUUAACGAAGUUUCCUGACCGGGUGUACUGAUGGUAUAUGUUCACAAGAAGUUUUGCUUGAGCUGAUAACAAGUAAACUGAGACUAUGGUGUGUGAUAUGGUUAUCUUUGACAGGAGGUGGUGGCCCUAUCAUGGGUGAUCUGUGGGCUUUGAAGGGUCUAAUAGAUGAAGGUGCAUCCUUGAUUAAAUUACUUCAAAACUGCAUUGGAUCUUAUUCUGGGUUUACCUUUGUUGUGCAAGAAAGAGCGUGAAACACCUGGAUGGACACAACUCAAGCUUCCUGGCCAAGCACCAUCGUCUCGAUGUGGUCAUACGGUUACAUCCGGAGGACAUUACGUAAGUCUUUUCCAGCUCAUGUUUGCUCUUUUGUAUAUGAAUGGCUUCGCGGGACAUACAUCACUCACAUCAUUAAUUUCCAUGUAUGAAGCUUCUGUUAUUUGGGGGACAUGGAACUGGUGGAUGGCUGAGUCGAUAUGAUGUCUAUUAUAAUGACACUAUAAUUUUAGAUAGAGGUACAUUCUUGCUCACUCGUCUCAUUAGCUUCGUCUCCUCUGCUAAAGGAUCACUGGAAAUCUAAAAUCCACCUAAUCGAAGUAUAAUCUAGUGAGAUGAGAAAAUUGUGAUGUAAUUCAUCAGUUUUAUUGCUGUGCAUUGUCUUGUACGCGCUGUUGCUAAAUUUAUGCGUUGUUGCUAGUAACUGCACAGUGGAAGCGCUUACCAGUAAGCAAUGAUGAGCCUCCUCCUCGGUGUGAAGUUUCAGUUCUACGAAGGCUCUGGUCUUGGUGGUGUUGUCAGGCUGCGGUGGAGGGCUUAGCGUUUCUCUUCGGUGUCGAGGAGGUCUCUCUCCCUCUCUCUUCUGUCGUGUGAGCUCUGGAGGUUUCCGCUUCCUCGGAGAUGAGUCGUGGGUUGAGGUAUGCAGUAGGAGAUGGUGCCUCAGUCUAGUUCCGAUUUCCAAGGGUUCUGUGGGUUGCUUGGAAGGAGUCUUCUAUGGUUUUAUUCACGGCAUCUCAACGUCUCUCAUCACUGGAGAUCUUCCCUGCUUGGUUCUCGUUCUGAUUCUUCUGGUGAAUGGCGACGGUCCUCUUCAUCAAAUGCUUGUCCUUGUUCUUCAUGUUUCUUGCUUUCUGUUUGACACCGGAAUGUGACACAGGGAGUCACAGGAAAUUGCUCUCGGUUCUCGAUAGCAGCAAGCGUCGAUUUGUUUUGAGCGUGUGCUCUUUGCCUAUUGGUGUCAAUGCUUGGCCAAUUAGCAAGCGUCGAUUUGGUUUGUUCUUCUGUGGCAGUGUGAGCUGGCUAUAUUUCUGUGCAGGUUCGGAUACUGUAUCAGACGAAAUGUGGUGGCGUUUGCAAGCCCGCCUUUUGGAUCCUAAUUGGUGAUGGAGGGGAGUGUACAGUCCGAGUUCUUGGCGUCGUCACUCAGGUGAAAUGUCCGAAACUCCCUCUGUUUCCAUCGUCAAACGCUUCAUAGACAGUGACAGUUAUAAGCUGGAGUUCAUCGGGAACCAGCUACUCCGUGGACAAAAUGGAAAGUCCCAGCGCAUCCGAAGCAAUAAGGACCGAGACAAUAAGGAAAACCUCACCUUCUCGUGAUCUUCGUCGAUGGUUGAUGUUUGAGAAUGGUAACCAUUCCAAAGAAUUCCAAAAAACGAAUCAACGGAAUGUAUCAUGUUUAGUGGACGGAAAAAGCUAAUUUUGUAAUAGUUUGAGUUUGAAAAUUUUGUACAAAACAGACUUGUAACCAGAUCUGAAUUUCCGAUCCUCAGGUCAAAUUAAUAUAUAUUUUAAAAAAGUCUUUAGUAUUGCAAGACGAAGUAUUCAAGGUGUAUAGGUCAUAGAUUGUAGACGAAAUAUUUAUUUAAAUUUUUUAUAUAUCUUACUUAUGGAGGAAACAUCUUAGUUUGGUAGAAUUUUUCCAUUUUAUUGGAGUCAAGCGGAAAACUUGAUCCAAAGACCAUAAAUCGUUUAAGCAGGAAAAGAAGGAUCUACCUCCUAAGCAAGUUGCAGAUCUGUUACGUGAAAGGUAAAUCACGUUCUUAUAUCAUUAUUUUUCUGUUUAACUUGCUUUGAUCUGUCUUUUAGGCUCUGUUGUGGUUGAAUCUGAUUUACAAACAAAAAUUCGUUGGAUUAUUACAAAUCUUGUUUUACGAAUUAAAAGCAUUUACUCUAAUCUUGUUAUAAAGUGUCUGAAUAAUAAGCUAAGUAAAGUUCCUCUGACAGGUAUCAUGUUUUAUUAUAGAUCAACCAAGGAUUAUCAAAAACGGUUUUAAAUCUUACUACAAGUUUGUACUUAUGUGUUGUGUUGAUGGUGGAACAGGAGAAUAGUGAUGGCUGAGGGAGUUGUGUCGUUUGGAGUGGAGAAACUCUGGGAUCUCCUGAGUCGAGAAUCUGAGCGAUUGCAGGGAGUUCAAGUGCAAGUUGAUGAUCUAAAAUGUCAGAUGAGUACGUUACAGUCGUUGUUGGAAGAUGCAGAUGGUAAGAGAUAUGAGAGUAAAGUAGUGAGAAGCUUCUUGGAAGAUGUCAAAGACAUUGUAUUUGAUGCUGAAGAUAUAAUCGAAUCCUUUCUUUUGAAAGAACUCAGUGGAAACCAAAAAGGGAUCAUGAGGCGUGUGAAAAGACUUUCUUGUUUCUUAGUGGAUCGCCGAGGUCUUUCUAUGGACAUUGAAGGCAUAACUAAGAGAAUGGCCAAGGUUGUUGCGCAAAUGCAUAGCUUUGGAAUACAACAGAUCAUCUACAGAUCACCGUCUCUACAAGAGAGACAAAGGGAGAUCCGACAAACAUAUCCAAAGAGAUCUCAAAAGGAUCUUGUGGGGGUGGAACAGAGUGUUAAGGAACUGGUUGGUCAGUUGGUGGAGAAUGAUAACAUCCAAGUAGUUUCCAUUUCUGGGAUGGGUGGUAUUGGAAAAACCACUCUUGCGAGACAAGUCUUUCAUCAUGACAUUGUUCGAAGUCAUUUUGAUGGAUUCGCAUGGAUCUGCGUUUCGCAAGAUUUUAAGCAGAAGGAUAUUUGGCAAAAGUUAUUGCAAGACCUUAGACCACAUGAUAAGGGCAUCGAACAUAUGAAUGAGAAUACACUCCAGGCUGAGCUCUUUCUCUUGUUGGAAACAUCUAGAUAUUUAAUUGUCAUGGAUGAUGUAUGGAAAAACGAAGACUGGGAUAUAAUAAAACACGUUUUCCCCCAAGAAAGAAGAGGUGAGCUCUCUAAUUGUACAUACAUUACUUAAGUUCUCCCCAUAGCCAUUUCUUAAAUGCCUUUGAGUCUCUGAUAUGAAACUAAAUACAAUUGCAGCUUGGAAGAUGAUUCUUACUUCACGCAAUGAAGGUGUUGGUUUGCAUGCAGACCCAACAUGUUUUCCCUUUAGACCAAAAAUCUUUACUCCUGAAGAAAGCUGGAAGCUAUGUGAGAGCAUAGCAUUCCCUAGAAGAGAGAUAACAGGUACGUUUUUAUAUAAGAAUCACAUGAAUCCUUAAGGCCAGAAAGCAUGAUAUCUCUUACUGGUUUUCUUUAUAAAAAAUGGUGUAGUAAUUCCUAAAUAUCCUCUGAGAUGGCAUAUAUUGUUGUAUAUGUAUUUUUUUUUUUUUGAACAUUUGAAAAGACUAGACACCAUAGGGGUGGGAAAAAGCUGACCCAUCCGUACCCAAGCCAAACCAAAAUCUAUGUUUAAAAAAAAGGUGUUUUUAAUUAGAUUAAUUAAAUAUACUAGUAAUAUUAAAAUCUAAUAUAUUUAUCCAUUUAACCUAAACAACUAAAUAUAAUUUAUACAUUUUACUUCUAAAUGAAUAGAAUAAACAUAACUAAAAAUAAAAUAAAAGAAUUUUAUUUUCAUACAUUAACAUUAAAACCGAAAAAUUACCUAUAUUACUUAUAGUAGGUUUAAAGAUAAUAACAUAAAAUUAUUUGGAAACAGAAUAUGAUGUUGAUGAAGAACUAGAAGCCAUGGGUAAGAAAAUGGUCAUGUAUUGUGGAGGACUACCAUUAGCCGUUAAAGUGCUAGGAGGCUUGUUAGCUAAUAAAUAUAUGGUUGAAGAUUGGAAAAGAAUAAAUGAGAAUAUUCAAACUCAGAUAGUUCGCUUAGAUGACAACAAUCAAGAUUCGGUUUACCGAGUAUUGUCUAUGAGCUAUGAAGAUUUGCCAAUGCAGUUAAAGCAUUGCUUCCUCUACCUAGCGCAUUUUCCCGAAGAUUACAAGAUACAAGUUGGGAAAUUGUGUAAUCUCUGGGAAGCAGAAGGAACAAUAACAUCAAGUUGCGAUGGAGCAACCACUAGGAAAAUUGGAGAAGAAUAUAUAGACGAGCUAGUAAGGAGAAAUAUGGUUAUGGCAGUAAAACAGGAUUUGAGUUGCACUUGGGAGUAUUGUCAAAUGCAUGACAUGAUGAGAGAAGUUUGCUUAUAUAAAGCUAAAGAAGAGAACUUUCUUAAGUUUAUCAAAGUCCCUAAUUCUUCCACCUCCACCAUCAAUGCUCAUACUCCUACUAGAUUUCGCAGACUCGUAGUACAUGGUGGUAAUGCCCUUGAUCUGCUGGGACGUAAAAGCAAUCAAAAAGCUAGAUCUGUUUUGGGGUUUGGACUCGACAGCAACUUGUGGAAGCAGUCAGCUCAAGGACUCCGAAAUUUACAAUUACUUAGGGUCCUAGAUCUGACUCUGAGUUUAAAACUACAUGGUAGAAGCAACUCUAGAGGAGGGAGAAUACCUUCCAGCAUAGGAAAGCUCAUUCAUUUGAGAUAUUUGAGCUUAUACAUGGGUUGUGCAACUCAUGUACCUUCUUCUUUUAGGAAUCUAAAGCUUCUAAUCUAUUUGAAAAUUUGCUCUGGGGCAACAGUUUAUCUGCCAAGUAUCUUUAAAGAGAUGGUAGAGUUGAGGUUCCUAUUUCUCCCCUCUUCUUUUGAGGCUAAAACAAAGUUGGAAUUGGGUAAUCUUGUGAACCUGGAGUACCUGACCUGCUUCCGAGCAGAAUACGGUAGCAUCACAGACUUCCUCCGAAUGACUAGGCUCAGGACUCUCUAUGUAUUUCUCAAAGGCAGGUAUACUUCUGAAAUUCUAGUGUCAUCUCUAUGUGAAUUAAGAAACCUGGAGACGCUUAUAUUGAUCGAUGUGAACGAACCCGAUGAGGCUUAUUAUGAUGUGGAUUUCGUUUGGAAUUUCAUUCAUCUAAGGCAUUUAGAGCUGGCCAUACAUAUGCCAAGGCUUCCCAAUCACUCUCGAUUUCCUCCCCACCUUGCACACAUAUCUUUACGUUACUGUAACAUGGAGGAUGAUCCACUGCAGAUUCUGGAAAAAUUGCUUCAUUUAAAGUCGGUUAAGUUAACAGAUUUUUCUUUCGUGGGGAGGAAGAUGGUGUGUUCAAAAGGUGGAUUCCCUCAAUUAUGUAAGCUAGAAAUAUGGGACCUAAACGAAUUGGAAGAGUGGAUAGUCGAAGAAGGGUCGAUGCCAUGUCUUCGUACCUUGUCUAUUCGGUAUUGUAAAAAGUUGAAGGAGCUACCGGAAGGGCUCAAGCAUAUAACUUCUUUAAAGGAACUGUAUAUCAGACAUAAGAACAAGGAGUGGAAGACAAAACUCGUACCAGGUGGGGAAAGUUACCACAAAGUCCAACACAUUCCUAGUGUUCAAUUACACUAUGAUAGCGACGAAUAAGGAGAAUAAAACGGUCUCAGGUAUGUCUUUUUGGUAUAAUGUCAAUAUUGUUCUUCUUGAAGUUUUGUGUGUAAGUCUCAACUAUCUAACCUUUUUAUUAUUCGGUUUUCAGGUGAACCUACUCAGGAUCAGUACCCACCACUACCGAUUGUGUGAUAUGAUAAUAAGUCGUUUUUGUUGUAUGAAGUUUACAUAUCUUGUUUGUGAUAUAUUCCGUAUAUCUAUUUGCAUGCUCAUUCACUGUAAUGCUAAGUUUGAAAUACAUUAUUUGUAUGUUGAACCAUAUCUUAUUCGAUGUUCUCCGUUGUGUGUGCUUAGUUGACUUGUAUAGUUACCGAACCGAACCUGAGUUUUCCAAAUUUGUCUUUUACUACUAAACCGGACAAAUUGAUGGUUUAAAAACAAAACUCGGUCUGGAUUAUAAUAAAAUCAGAUGAUGAGACUCUACCAAACAAGAGAGUCCUUUCGAUCUCUGCAAAUUUGUUUUUGACUCCAAUUAAGAGGAGGAGAAGUCUAUUAGUUGAAGCGAAUACAAAACGCGGUGAUCCGUGCGUUUCAGACAUCAAUCGCCAAACGUAUGCAUAACUGGGUUAGAGCUUCCUCUUCCGAUUUCACGGGAACUCCUCCACAGCCUAGGAGGUAAAUUAAUUACUUCUUCUCCAUUCAAUUUUCGAUUUUAAUUUUAGCUGAUGAUUUUUUUAUUGUUCAUCAGUGGACAUACAGCUGUCAAUGUCGGAAAAUCCAUGGUCGUUGUGUUCGGCGGUCUCGUCGACAAGAAGUUCCUCAACGACAUCAUUGUCUAUGACAUUGGUAAUAAUCAUCAAUUAUAUUCAGCCUAGGAUUAUUGAUUCCUUGAUCCAAAGAAGAUGCUUUUUUUUUUAUUAGUUACUACUGUCUUGGCUUGUUCUUCUUGUAAUGACUAGUGUUUGCUUCUUCUUUAAUUCUGUGGACUAGAGAACAAACUCUGGUUUGAGCCAGAAUGUACUGGCAGCGUGUCUGAAGGAAAAGUUGGUCCUACACCUCGCGCCUUUCAUGUUGCCAUCACUAUUGAUUGCCAUAUGUUCAUCUUUGGUGGACGUUCUGGUGGCAAGAGGUACGCACUUCUAUAUAUUUUCUAGUUAUAAGCGUUUUUACAUUCUAAAUAGCUCAUUUCUGUAAAUCAAUUUCAGGUUGGGUGACUUCUGGGUUCUAGAUACUGGUAAGUGUUCAAGUUAUAACAAUGUCAUUGAGACCUGCAUAGGGAACUUUUUAAUACUCUGCUGCCAACGUUUUCUGCAGAUAUAUGGCAGUGGUCUGAGCUAACCAGCUUUGGCGACUUACCUACGCCUCGUGAUUUUUCUGCCGCCGCUGCUAUUGGGAACCAGAAAAUUGUGUUGUGAGUAUUCAGAAAUUUUAGACGUUCAUCAGCUUGUUGCCUGCAUUGGCGUAACCUAUGAUCAUUGGCAGGUGUGGCGGCUGGGAUGGUAAAAAAUGGCUGUCAGAUGUGUAUGUUAUGGACACAAGUAAGUUUCUGAUAAUGUCAGCUUUCUUGGUGUCUGUUAGUGUCUCUUGAAUGGAUGGAGCUGUCGGUUUCGGGGUCGUUGCCGCCUCCUAGAUGUGGCCAUACAGCCACCAUGGUUGAGAAACGUUUACUUGUUUUUGGUGGCCGAGGUAUAUAACACCAGAACCAGAAUCUUUGUUCUGCUUGAGCUGAUGACAACUAAACUGAGACUAUGGUUAUCUUUGACAGGAGGUGGUGGCCCUAUCAUGGGUGAUCUGUGGGCUUUGAAGGGUCUAAUAGAUGAAGGUUCAUCCUUACUUACAUUUCUUGAAAAUUGCAUUGAAUUAUGUAGAGGAGUAUUCUCUUGAGUUGUCUUUCUUUCUUUUGUUCUGUUUGCUGAUCUUAUUGUGGUUUACCUUUGUUGUGGAAGAAAGAGCGUGAAACACCUGGAUGGACCCAACUAAAACUUCCUGGCCAAGCACCAUCAGCUCGAUGUGGUCACACUGUCACAUCCGGAGGACAUUAUGUAUGUCUAUUUCAGCUUCCGUUUGCUCUUUUGUAUAAAUAGGUUCGCAUGACAUACAUCACUCACAUCAUUAAUUUUCAUGUAUGAAGCUUCUGUUAUUUGGGGGACAUGGAACUGGUGGAUGGCUGAGUCGUUAUGAUGUCUAUUAUAAUGACACUAUAAUUUUAGACAGAGGUAAAUUCUUGCUUAUGAGAUUCGUCACUCUAAAUCCAAAAAUCCACCUCAGUAAUUUACAAUCUAGUGAGAUGAUAAAAUUGUGAUGUGCUUUAUCAUUUUUCUUGCUGAGCAUUGUUUUCUACGCGUUGUUGCUAAAUUUAUAUUUUCACAUACUAGUAACUGCGCAGUGGAAGCGCUUACCGAUAAGCAAUGAUGAGCCUCCUCCUCCUCGAGCUUACCAUACAAUGACUAGUAUUGUUGCUCGUCAUCUUUUAAUUGGUGGUUUUGAUGGAAAAUCAACCUUCGGUGAUCUUUGGUGGUUGGUUCCUGAAGGUAUCUUUCUCUUAUUUAUACUGAUGUUUUAGUCCAACUUAGCUAUCAUUCUGUGUACACGCAUCAUCAGUUACUUAUAGUUGGAAACUCUUUAGACGAACUAAUCUUGGUGUUGGUCGCAGAUUGUAGGCAAUUUUAGAGACACUUAAUUUCUAGCAUAAUCUUUUUUUUCUUCUUUAUCAAGUUUGUAUUGAAAGUUUUGAAGUUUUACUGAACUGUUUAGCCUUCUGAAAAUGUUGUUAUUCGUUUUUUUCUUUUUCUCUUUUCUCAGAUGAUCCGAUAGCCAAGAGGUCUUCUGUACCUCAACUUAGAAACCCUCCUGAGACUAAAGAGUCAGAGAGAGAUUUGGAUACGGUAACUGUGGUUACUGCUCAUCAUCUUAUGUGUUUCUCGCCAAUGCAGUUAAAUUAGCUUUUCAACGUGUUUUAACACCAAGAGUUUGGUCACAGCAGGAAAGAGGACAAGAGGGAUUCACUAUCGUCGACUUGCAAAAGAAAAUGGGAAUCUCUGUUUCUUCAGGGUUACGCCUUCAAAUACCCGAGGAGUUAGAAGAUCAAGAGUUCGUUGAGUUAGGAACCAGAUUGAUUGAGGGAGAUGCAGUUGAUAAUGGAGCCUCCAUGAUUCAGGUGAGUUUUUCCUCUUGUCUAUUUUAGAAUGUGUGAUUGUGUUAUUCUUGUACUGAAAAUGCUUCUCAAUGAAAAGAUGGCAGCUGAAGCACUUCGUCAACAUUGGAAAGAGUCCACUCCAGAGACUUUGCAAUUAAAGGAGCUUGGUUCCUUGCUUCGAGAUUAUCAGCGACUGGUUACCCGAAAAUACACGUGAGUUCUUAUCCAUGCCUAACUAUUUCAGACUCAGUUCUUGUUUAUGUAGAUUAUCUUUUGUUUCACUAAAAAUGGUUGUUCUUUGAUUGCGCUUGGAAUCACCACAUGGCAUUAGAAUAACUUAGAUAAAUCUCCUGAGAGUUUAGGAGUCAUAUAGAGUUAAUAUGAAUAUAUCAUUUUUGUGUCUUGAAUAGCCCUCGAGACUUUUUAAUCCGAGCAUAUUGUCAAAACUGAUAAUGUUGUGAAUGCAUUGUUUUGUGCCCCUACUAUUACAUGUUAUGAAAUCUCACAUCUGCUUCUUCCUUUCCUUGACACAUGUUUCUUUUCAUUUGUUGUGGCGGGUUUCUAUCAGAUCACAGAGCAGCUUAACAUCUGCUGAUUUUGGAAAGAAGACGUUUACGUUUUAUCAUAUCAAAAAUUCUUCCGAGGUAUUACUCUGCAUACUUUCCUCCCUCGCCUGAAUAUUUGACACCAAUCAAUCAAAACAUCAGGCUUUCCUCCUGACAUGUCAAGUUUACAUUUUGCUAUUCUCAGUUGCGGAUGGAUGACAUUGCGGAGUUGCUGGAAGAAUACAAAACCCUUGUAAUCUGAUUGAGGAGCUCUGCCAUGAAACUCACAAGGAGAAUACAAAACUCAUCAAGUAGCUGCCAAGAAGAUCACCAAGAUUGCUAUCAGCAUUACCAUUGCAAACCACAAAGCUAAAAAGUCUCAAGAGAAUCACAUCUCUGAUAGACAACUAUGUGCAACUUCUUUUUAGCAAGAACAAAAAGAUACAACGUAUAUGUAAGACUUCCAUUAUCUCAACUUAAAUCCAUAUCUAAGCCUCUGCUCUUUUAUUUCUUGUUUGGGCUUUGAAAAUAGAUUGCUUUGCCUUGAAGCCAAUGCGAAAGUAAGGAAAAAAGUAGGCAAACUUCAUCUAUUAGACUUUGAAAUGGAUUACAACAACAACGGUACUCUUGAUAACUUAAACCACAGAGUUUCUGUCUGCAUAGACCCGUAUUGUCUUUUCUCUAUCCCCUAAAACAACUCGAACUCAAGAUGAUCUCCCAUGGCUUUACAUUCAAGAUAUCCAUUACCAUUUCCUUUAGGAGAAGUUGCUUCCGUUGCACCAUUCUCAUAUACAUCCGGCAGCUCAGGCGGAAUGGCGCAGCGGAUGAGAGCCCAGUUCAAUCCUUCAAAGAAUGGAUGCCUCUUGAUCUCUGCAGCUCCUUUCUCCCACCCGAGACGGCUCCCCGGAUCCUUCAUCACCAACCUUCUGAUCAAAUCCUUUGCCUGGAAGCUCACAAGAGGGCUAUCAGGAAACUUGAGGUUCUGAAACACAAACGUCUCCUCAUUGUCAUAACCUUUGAACGGUGUCUUCCCGUAUAAAAGCUCAUAGAGAAGAACCCCAAACGUCCACCAGUCUACUGCAGCACCGUGCCCUUCUCCUUUAAUGAUCUCCGGCGCCAAGUACUCGUGCGUUCCUACAAAAGAGUUUGAUCUUGCUUCAGUUGGUUCAGCCACAAGCUGAGGCAAUGAUCUGAACUGUUGGGUCAGAAGAUCAGGCCUUCUCUGUUUUCUUGGUUUUGAGUUUCUAGCUUGCGUUGACAAGAGCCUAGGGCUGAAACAUGGGACACAGCACGAUGGACUCUAUCUAAAUCACAGGUUCUUCAUCUUCUUUGGAAGCUGAGGAGCUUGAUACAAUAAGUGAAGACGAAGACAAACAGCAGUAUCCAGGCGAUGUGCACUGCAGCUACAGCUGGUAAGAAGUCAUGUUCGAACCCGGAUCCAUCUUUGAGCAACUGUUUUAGUUCCGUGUCUAGGAGACCAGUGUUCUGUACUAUCGAAUCUUGGUCUCCUACUUGAGAUGUGAUGCUUCCAUACAAUGUCCAGCCACUGGCGUUGCCUAGUAAUUAAUAUCAUCUCCACCAUAUCAAUAUUUGCUGCAUCCCCUCCUCCAUAAGAAACAUAAAACAUAAAAGUUAGGUAGCUCUAAAACACUUCUGAUCAUAACAAAAAGUAAGAUCUAUAACACACUUGAUGAUUACGUAACUUGGUUCGUAAUUUUUACCAAUCUUUGGGAUGAGGAACUGGAGAAAAGAUUCCAAAUAGACCGAGGAAGAAAGACAUGCAGAUUCCGGAGAUUUGAUAGUUUGGUGUCAAGGCCACAAAGCAUCAAGCUUGGUAACAUGUCGUAGUAGUAGAAGUAGAACCAGAAGAACUUGACCACAGUACGGUCGUAUCCUAUCAUUGAGUAAAGGAUUAUAGUAUGUAAACUCUAGUUUGUAUGGUGUCAUACUACAUGAUCUAACAACUUUGUCUAUAUUACCAACUAGUGGUAUGCCCGCGCUACGCGCGGGGCGGUUGUCUUGUGUUGUAAUAUUUAUUUUAAAUGUAUUGUCAUCUUUUGUUUGAUUAUAGGUAAAUGAAAAAUUAAUGUAAUAAAAAUUGGUUUGAUUAUAUUAUCAUUAACUCAAAAAAUAAAAAUUAAUUUUUAGUUAUACUUGAGAUCAUGAAGCAUUAUUUUGAUCAACUGAUGAUAAUAGAUAUAAGUUUUAACUGUCAAAGAUAAAUUGUAGAGUACAAUGUGCAUAGUAUAAUAUAGGCUUGACAUUUUAUGUAUAAAUUUAGAUAUCUAUUAGUUUUUUUGUUUGAAAUAAGUAUUUUUUUAAAAUUGUUCUUAUUUGAUUAUAUUUGGGAAAGAAAUGCUGAGAAAGAAAAUUAUUUUGUAAAGAGGGAAUUUUUUUUGUUGUUGAAAUUAAUACAAAGGAGAAAACAGUACAGAAAUGAAACUGGAAAUUAGAAUAUAAUAAACCCCCUUAUUAGUAGUAAUUAAGCUGAAAUCAUAGAUUACUUUCCCUACGUAUGGGACAUUUUUUGUUCGUGCGAAGCCAUCGAUAAAUGUAAGGAAAAUAGAAAUUAUGGUUGCAAGUAAGAGAGUAAAUAUUGUUUUCAUAGUUGAAAUUCCUAAAGCACAUAGUGCAUUCUUCAAUAGUUGGAAGCCUAUUAAUUUCCUCUAAAUCGACGUUAAGUUUUGCAUCGCGUUUUGGUUGUAGCCCUUGAUAGUAAGAGUAAAUUGAAGAUCAUCAGUCAUGGUAUGUUAACAUGAAUUCUAUGCUUUCGGUUGUUGAAUCAUUAAAAUUAAAUUGAUUGUCAAUGAUAGAUGGUAGCUGAAAAUUAAUAAUGGAUUGUUGUGUGUUAGAUCUGGGGAUGUAGACUUGGAGUAUUUGUUGCGGACUUUCUCCUGAAGAUCUUGUUCGGAGUGAUAGCUGAUAAGAGAGAAGUGGUUUGUUAUUUACUUUUGAGUUCUUUGUAAGAGUUUUAUGGUGAAAGUAUGAAAAUGUUUUAUAAAUAUGUCUUAUAGAGUGUGAAUUAAGUUUUUGAUUUAUUUUGACUUCUUCUUACGUUUGGUAUUAAGAACUAUUUAUUUUGGAGGUUUAAUUUUUUGAGUUGAUGGUUUUUGAAGACUUGACUGUUCUGUUUAGGUUGAUUUGUUACUUCUUAUCGAGAUUUUUAUAAUAUACAUAUAGAGUUUAUUUGUAAGAGAAAAUGAUAAUAGGGUAAUUUUCCUAAAUACACAUUUUUAUGUUUUUGUCACAAAAUAGCUUCAAAUGAGUAAAAUGACUAAAAUGUCUCAUUUAAGAGAAAAAGAUAUUUAUACCCUAGAUAUAUAAAUACAAAUAAAAUAUAAUUUAUAGUUUCCAAUUAUAUGUUUUCAAAUUUGAACUUUCUUAUAAAAAUAUAUUUUGUAAAAGUCCAUUCUUUAACUCGAAACCCUAAAGUUUAGAUUAGUUAACCUCAAUUUUAUAAAAAAAUUGAAACCUCUAUCCUAAAACUUUAUCCUUUAACUCGAAACCCUAAAGUUCAGAUUAGUUAACCUCAAGGAUAUAAGUGUAUAUUUAUCUUUUAUUUUGGUUAUUUUUAUUCUAAAAGACUAUAUUUGUGACAAAAAAAAUUUAGGACUGUAAUAGGAAUUUCUCAUGAUAAUAUAUGCUUUUUAUAUUUCGAUGAAUCUUAUUAAUAAUAUAAUUUUAGUUUGGUUAAUUAUUAUUAUGGUUUAACAUUUCAACGAUAGUUUUACUCUUAAUUUUGAUGUUUCUAUAAUGUGCGUUGUUCUAAACUGAAAUUAAUUCGUAUUAGUUAUUUGUAGUUAUGUUAAUAUAUAUUUUUAUUAGUUUUAGUAUAGUUUUAAUGUCCUUGGCUAAAAGCAUUCUACAAAACUAUAGUAUAGUAUAGUUUUAAUUUGGGUUUCCAUAUUUAAUGGAAACGUAGUGGGUCUAGGAGAUUAAUGGUGUUCUUUUGUUGCUGUUGGAAUACGUUAUUGUUUUCAAAGUUUUGAUUUGAGUUAUUAAAUUUAUCAUUUAUAAUUUGAGAUUUUAUAUCAUGAAACUUUAAAACACGAUUGUUUUGUGACUUGUUUGAAAUAAUUAGUAUAUUAUACUUUAAAUUUUAUAUUAAUUUAUUUUAUCGUUAGUAAUUAACAAAGUUCAAGUUAUUCUCCCAAUAAUUGGUUCCAAAAAAAUAAUUGUGCUUUUUCAGUAAUUUACUGUUAAGAAAAUAAAGUUGUAAAUGUUAUGUGAUAUAAUUUUAAGUUAUAUUACACUGUUAUUUUAUAUUUUCUACAAAACAAUUUAUGGACAUUGUUAUUUUUGGCUCAUUUGAAUACACGAAAAAAAAUCUAUUGAUGGACUACACCUACGUUUGGGGAUUAGCAUACAUCUUUUCAUAUGUUUCCUAGGUUAAUAAAAUAAUAUUUCUAUUUUAUCUUCUAUUUAAAUUUAAAAUUUCUAAAUAUCCAUUUUGAUUAUAUAUUUUAUAUAUUUUGAGUAUCGUUGGCUGAAUUUCCUCUCAAAUCCUAGUUACCAAUAUGCCUUAAUUGUUUAAAAGUAGUAGAAAAGCCCAAUAAAAAUCUCUAAACCGAAGACGUUAUAGAGAUGAAGUCUCAGAUUCCGGAAGAGGAAGAGGAUGGAGCAGGAGAGACCCCGAUGGCGAAACAUAGAAACCCUAAAAGAACAAAUUAAGUUUUCUAGAUGAAGAGAAGAGCCCAGAGCCCAGGAACACAUUAAACUAUUCAGAGAGAAAGAGAAUGGCCCACGAAACAAAAACAAACGGACAAAACAAAAUAAACCCACGAAACAACACAAUUUAAGAAACGUAAAUGAAAUCAAACGAACAAAAGCUUUGUAAAAUAGAGACACGUGGCGAAAUUUAGAUAUAUGAGUGCUGAGGUGGAGGCCUGAGGAGCCUUUCCAAGCUACUUUAUUAAUAUAGAUUUUCCCAAUUAAUUAUUUCUAACGAAAAUAUAAUGUAUAAAUAUCAAUGAAUAUAUUUUGAAAGUUGAAAAUGAGGAAGAAAUUUUUUUUUUUACCAAAAAGAAUAAUAAGGGAGAACUAUAGUGAAUGCUUCGAGUGGGCUUAAGCAAACGCAUUAUUGCCUGCGAAAAGUCAUUAUCGCUACAGACUAGAAAACUCACAUAUUUUCUUUUUAUUCAAAAUUAGAACCACAGAUGGCAGCCAAUAUAGACUGUUGAUAAGAUUGACUUGGAGUCUACUCUUUCAUUGCCACUCAUAUCUCUUCUUCCAAAGAACCUCUCUAAGCAAGUUGAAGAGCUGUUACAUGAAAGGUAAAUCAUGUUCUUGUAUCAUUAUUUGUCUGUUUAACUUGCUUUGAUCUGUCUUUUGGACUCUGUUGUGGUUGAAUCUGAAUUUAAAAACGAAAAUUCGUUAGAUUAUUACAAAUCUUGUUUUACGAAUUUAAAGCAUUUAAUCAUCAAAUCUUGUUAUAAAUUGUUUGAAUAAAAGUAAGUUAAGUAAAGUUCCUCUGACAUGUAUCAUAUUUUAUUAGAUAAACCAAGGAUUAUCACAGCGGUUUUAAAUCUUACUACAAGUUUGUACUUAUGUAUUGAUGGUGGAACAGGAGAAUAGUGAUGGCUGAGGGAGUUGUGUCGUUUGGAGUGGAGAAACUCUGGGAUCUCCUGAGUCGAGAAUCAGAGAGACUGCAGGGAGUUCAUGAGAAAGUUGAUGAUCUAAAAUGUCAGAUGAGAAUGUUACAGUCAUUGUUGGAAGAUGCAGAUGCCAAGAGAUAUGAGAGUAAAGUAGUGAGAAGCUUCUUGGAAGAUGUCAAAGACAUUGUUUUUGAUGCAGAAGAUAUAAUCGAAUCCUUUCUUUUGAAAGAACUUAGUGGAAACCAAAAAGGGAUCAAGAGGCGUGUGAAAAGACUUUCUUGUUUCUUAGUGGAUCGCCGAGAUAUUUCUAUGGAAAUUGAAGGCAUAACUACGAGAAUGUCUAAGCUUGUUGCGCAAAUGCAGAGCUUUGGAAUACAACAGAUCAUCUACAGAUCACCGUCUCUACAAGAGAGACAAAGACCAAGGGAGAACCGACAAACAUAUCCAAAGACAUCUCAAAAGGAUCUUGUGGGGGUGGAACAGAGUGUUAACGAAUUGGUUAGUCAUUUGGUGGAGAAUGAUAGCAUCCAAGUAGUUUCCAUAUCUGGGAUGGGUGGUAUUGGAAAAACCACUCUUGCGAGACAAGUUUUUCAUCAUGACAUUGUUCAAAGUCAUUUUGAUGGAUUCGCAUGGAUCUGCGUUUCGCAAGAUUUUAAGAAGAAGGAUAUUUGGCAAAAGUUAUUGCGAGACCUCAGACCACAUGAGAAGGGAAUCGAACAUAUGAAUGAGGAUACACUCCAGGCUAAGAUCUUUCAUUUGUUGGAAACAUCUAAAUACUUAAUUGUCAUGGAUGAUGUAUGGAAAAAAGAAGACUGGGAUGUAAUAAAAGACGUAUUCCCCCAAGCAAGAGGUGAGCUCUCUAAUUGUACAAACAUUACUUCCCAUAGCUAUUUCAUAAAUGCCUUUGAGUCCUUGAGAUGAAAGGAAAUACAAUUGCAGGUUGGAAGAUGAUUCUUACUUCACGCAAUGAAGGUGUUGGUUUGCAUGCCGACCCAUCAUGUUUUCCCUUUAGACCAAAAAUCCUUACUCCUGAAGAAAGUUGGAUGCUAUGUGAGAGCAUAGCAUUCCCUAGAAGAGAAAUAACGGGUAUGUUUCUAUAUAAGACAUAUGAAUCUCUUACGGGCCUUCUUAUCAAAAAUCUUUUGUACUAAUUCCUAAAUUAUCAUCUGGGAUGACAUAUAUUGUUAUAUAUACUAGGUGUUUAUCGGCAUAUAUAAGAAGGAUAAAACAUAUUUUUGUAAAUUUUUUUAUGCUUAGAAUUUUAUUUUAAGAUAACAACCCAAUAUACCUAUAUAUAUGAUUUCUAUUUUUAUCUUAAAAAUAUAUUUUUAUUUUUUGACUAUUUUCUUAUCUUAGUCAAUCUAUUAAAUAAAUCCAAAAGUUGAUUAUAUAAAUUAUAAAUCUAGACAAGAACAAAAAAAAACAAUUUCAUUGCCAAUAAUGAAUUAUUAGAAUCUUUGAUUUAUAUAGUCCCAUCCGUUACUUUAUGUAUGUGUUAUUUAGGAGGGUCAUUGGUAAGUGAAUUCUUAUGAACUUUGGAAAAUUUGAGAUUUCAUUAUUAUUAGUUUUUGGAUUUCAAAUAUCUUAAUAGAAUCCGUUGUUAUUGGUUUUAAAAAAAAUCAAAAUCCAUUCAAAUCUUUUGUUAUUCAAAAAGUUUAGUUAUUAUUGAUUCUCUAAUUCUAACUAAAUUCAGUGUUACUGGGAGAUGAAUUUUAUUUAUUUUUAUUCAUAAGACUCAACUAUCAAAAUAUGUAUCCAUAUGAUUUUCAAAAUCCAUGUGAUAAAAAACUAAAAAAUAAAAUAAUUAUUCUUACCAAUUAUCUAUUGAACCUUAAAUCCAAAUUAUACGUCCAAAAAUAUAAUUAAUUACAUUUAUAUACUUUUACAUUUUUGAAUAUAUAAUUAUUUUUAUAAAUAUUAUCAUUUUUAAUAUAAAUAUUAAUAAUUACAUUUAUAAAUAUUAACAAGUUUUAAUAUAUUUUUUUAAAAAUAGUUUCGAAAACCAUUUUCAAAUUUAUAAAAAUUAUAAAAAGUUCAAAUUUGAAAACAUCUAAUCCGAAAUUAUAAAACAAAAUUUUUUAUUUUUAUUUUAUUUUUAUUACUUAUAUAUCUAUAAAGCAAAGGGAAAAAUAGUUUUUUGCCCUUUUAAUAAAACUUCUUUUGGUCAUUUUCCUUUUUGAAUAUUUUUUGUGACAAAAACUUAAAAAUGACUAUUUAAGAAAAUUGUACAAUUUUGUAUGUAUCACUAUUAUUUUCUUUUUAAUUUGAAGAAAAAAAUAAAUAAUCAUGCUAUAUGAUUUAGAAAAUAUAUAAAUUAUAUAUUUACUUUACAAAAAAAAAUUAUAGAAAAGAGGUAAUACAAAUUCAUGAAAAUCUUUUCCAAUCUAAAAAGGUUAUUAUCAAAUUUCAUAAGUCGAUGUAUUUAAAUUUUUACAAUCUACAUAACUUUUAAAAAUCUAUCAACUCCAUGGAUGGAUGGAUGGAUGGAUUUGCGAAGUGAUUUUUUGCAAUGGAGUUCUCACGUUAAAAGUUAGAGUGGUAAAUAUUGUGUAUACCCUUAAUGAAUAAAAUAUAUAUUAGCAAAAAAAAUAAAAAUUAAUUUAUUUUUUCUUAGAUAAUUAUUUAAACUAAUAAUAAGAAUUAUCCAAAAUCUAAAAAAAAAAAGAUAAUUCCUAUAGAUAUUGUGUUGUUAUCUGAAAAAAUCAUUUAAUAAAAAGUUCAAAGUUAAAAAAAUGGAAAACACAUAACUAAAUAUAUUAAUCAAGUAAAUGCUUGAUUUUAUAUAAUUGAAAAGAGCAUAUUGAGUGAUUUCUAAAAUUUAUUUAUUAAUAAUUAAUGAAUAUAGUGUAUAAGGAAAUAUUCAAAAAUUAUAAUACAUAAAAAAAUCAAAUGAAAAAAUAAAUAAUAAUUUAUCAUUAUAGUAUUCUAAUUAUUAAUACAUAUAUUAAUAAGUAAUUAUAAAAUACUUAUGUCUACGGAAGAAACACCUAGUAAUAGUAUAAUAUACAAGUUUAGCAAUAUGAACUUCAUAUUGUAAGCAUGGCCGGCUUUUGAGGAAGGCGGUCAGUGCGACCACUCCGCGGCCCGUUUCAAAUCAUGUUAUGUUAAGGGCCUUAAGAGUUAUAAAAUUUAGAGAUUCUAUUGUUAUUGGUUUAUGUAUUCUUAUAAUCUUGUUAGAAUCCUUUGUUAUUGGUUUAUGAACUUUUAAAUUUCAUAUAAAAUCCUUUGUUAUUCAAAAAGUCUAGUUUUUAUUGAUUUUGUAAUUUUAGUAAACUCUCUUGUUAUUGGGACAUAAAUUCUCUCUAGUUUUACUCAUAACACUCAACUUUACAAAUAUCAUCUAUACUCAUAAGAUUUUUAGAAUCUAUGUAACAAAAAACACAAAUAUACAAACACAAAAAGUUUUGUAUUACAUUUUUGUUGUCAUGUGAAAGAUAAUUGUAAAAGGAAAUUUAAAGAUAACAAAUUAUUAAAGAUAACAUAAUUAAGAAUAUGAAAAAAUCAUAGGUUGACCUCAGAAAACUUUAAACAAAAAUCAAAAAAGACAAAUUCAAAUAUUAAAAAAAUAAAAAAAAAAUAUUUUAACAUCAAAUAACUAUAUUUCUUGAAAUAAAAAGUUUAGAAGUAUUUUUAUAAAUAGAUAAAUCUGGAAAGAAAAACAUAUAUGGAAAUUCAUGCUAAUCAAUCAUAAUCAAUGAAAAUUUAUACAAUACAUAUGGCAAGAAUUCAUCAAAUUUACUUAACUCUUAAAAAAAUUUGAACUUUAAAAAUUUUCAGAUUCUAAGCAAAUUUCAUUUUCAAUAGGCCCCUAAGAAAUCAAGUAUAAAUUUUUGCUCGAUGUUAUGCCUAAGUUGAAAAGUUAAAGAAACACAAAAUUUAAAAAAACAGACUAGUUAUGGGCCUCAAAAUUUUGAUUUGCCCUGGGGCCCUCUAAUUGUAAGUGAUCUUAAAUGUUCGAAACAAAAAAAAUAUAAAAUACUAAGUAAACUAUUAAAAGAGUCCUCAUAAAAACUAACAAUUCUCCGGAUAAUCAUUAAGUUAGAAAAAAUAUAUAUAAUUCUUUUUAAUUUAUAAAAUUAAUUAUAGAUUAAAAGUAUCAAUGACUUUAGUCGUUAUAACUUUUAAUAUAAGAGUUCAGAGGUAAAAAAAUCACAAGUUUAGCAAUACAAACUUCAAAACAAAAAAAACGUAGUAGUAAUACAAACUGACGUAAGUAUAAAAUACUAAGUAAACUAUAAAAGGGGCCAUCAUAAAAACUAACAAUUUUCCAGAUAAUCACUAAGUUAGAAAAUCUAUAUAAUUCCUUUUAAUUUAUAAAACUAAUUAUAGAUUAAAGAUGUCAAUGACUUUAGUCGCUAUAACUUUUAACAUGAGAGUUCAGAGGUAAAAAAUCACAAGUUUAGCAAUAUAAACUUCAUAUUGUAAGUGAACAUAAAUGUUCAGAAAAAUAAGUGGUAGUAAUACAAACUGACGUAAAGUAUAAAAUACUAAGUAAACUAUAAAAGAGGCCAUCAUAAAAACAAACAAUUCUCCAGAUAAUCAUCCAGAUAAUCAUUAAGUUAGAAUAUAUAUAUAAUUCCUUUAAAUUUAUAAAUUAAUUAUAGAUUAAGGGUAUCCACGACUUUAGUCGCUCUAACGGAUGAGAGAUCAAAAGUAAAAACAUCACAUUGCUAAUAAUAGUACAAAUAGAUAGAUAUAUUAUAAUUUUUUGAAAAUUUGAAAAGACUAGACACAUAUAUUAUUUCAAGACUAAUCUAUAAUAUGCUUUACUGUUUUCAGAAUUUAAUGUUGAUGAAGAACUAGAAGCCAUGGGUAAGAAAAUGGUCAAAUAUUGUGGAGGACUACCAUUAGCCGUUAAAGUGCUGGGAGGCUUGUUAGCUAAUAAAACCAUGGUUGAAGAGUGGAAAAGAGUAGAUGACAAUAUUCAAACUCAGAUAGUUCGCAUAGAUGACAAAAGUCAAGAUUCUGUUUACCGAGUAUUGUCUAUGAGCUAUGAAGAUUUGCCAAUGCAGUUAAAGCAUUGCUUUCUCUACCUAGCUCAUUUUCCCGAAGAUUACGAGAUACAAGUGGAGAGAUUGUAUUAUCUCUGGGAAGCAGAAGGAAUAAUAACGUCAAGUGGCGAUGGAGAAACCACUAGGAAAAUUGGAGAAGAAUACAUAGACGAGCUAGUAAGGAGAAAUAUGGUUAUUGGAGUAAAAGAGGAUUUGAGUUGCAAAUGGGAGUAUUGUCAAAUGCAUGACAUGAUGAGAGAAGUAUGUUUAUAUAAAGCCAAAGAAGAGAACUUUCUUCAGUUUAUCGAAGUCCCUACUUCUUCCACCUCCACCAUCAAUGCUCAUACUCCUACGGGAUCUCGCAGACUCGCAGUACAUGGCGGUGAUACGCUGGGACGUCAAAACAAUAAAAAAGCUAGAUCUAUUUUGGGUUUUGGACUCAACAGCAACUUGUGGAAGCAGUCAGGUCAAGGAUUCCGAAAUUUACAAUUACUUAGGGUCUUACAUCUGAAUUUACAAACACAUGAUAGCGACUCUAGAGGAGGGAGAAUACCUUCGAGCAUUGGGAAGCUCAUUCAUUUGAGAUAUUUGAGCUUAGACAUGGGUUGUGCAACUCAUGUACCUUCUUCUUUACGGAAUCUAAAGCUUCUAAUCUAUUUGAGUAUUUUCUCCUUCAAAAGAAUUCAUCUGCCAAGUAUCUUUAAAGAGAUGGUAGAGUUGAGGCUCCUGAUGCUUCCCCAUGUAAUUGACCCUAAAACAAAGUUGGAAUUGGGUAAUCUAGUGAACCUCGAGUACUUGAGGUGGUUCCGAUCAGAAAACGGUAGCAUCACAGACUUACUCCGAAUGAAAAAGCUCAGGAAUCUCGAGAUAUAUCUCAAAGGCAGGUAUACUUCUGAAAUUCUAGCGUCAUCUCUCUGUGAAUUAAGAAACCUGGAGGAGCUUUGCUUGAUCGAUGAGAACAACGAAUCCGAUGGGGCUUAUGAUGUGGAUUUCGUUUGGAAUUUCAUUCAUCUAAGGCGUUUAGCGCUGGGCCUACAUGUGACAAGGCUUCCUGAUCACUCUCGAUUUCCUCCCCACCUUGCAUACAUAUCUCUAACUAAGUGUGAAUUGGAGGAGGAUCCACUGCAGAUUCUGGAAAAGUUGCUUCAUUUAAAGUCGGUUGAAUUAGGUUACAGCGCUUUCGUGGGGAGGAAGAUGGUGUGUUCAAAAGGUGGAUUCCCUCAAUUAUGUAAGCUACAAAUAUGGUUACUAGACGACUUGGAAGAGUGGAUAGUGGAAGAAGGGUCGAUGCCAUGUCUUCGUACCUUGUAUAUAUACAAUUGUAAAAAGUUGAAGGAGCUACCGGAAGGGCUCAAGUAUAUAACUUCUUUAAAGGAACUGAUAAUCACCGAUAAGAACAAGGAGUGGAAGACGAAACUCGUACCAGGUGGGGAAAGUUACCACAAAGUCCAAC
rnacentral:lncRNA from 1 species